rnacentral:lncRNA from 1 species
CAAACACGUGGUUUGAUCUUAAACAAUUGGUGCCCAAUGUGGGUCUCCGGGUUCUGGCCGAAAGCCAGCCGUCCUAGAAGACUCUGAGGCAGACUUGCAGUGAUGGGACGGUGACUGAUCACCUCUGAUAUACAGUAAUGACUGCCAUUACCACCUUGCCUAUAUAUCCUGUCUCUGUAAUUGGCAUGUCUCCGUGUCUGUAUCUGCUGCUGGAGGGCACCAAAGACAGGUAAAUAGCUUGCCCGGACUCCCUUUGUAUAGAACCUGUAUAUUGACUAUCUGCCUCCUGGGUGUGAAUGUAUUUUUGCAUAAGGCUAAGGAAUUUCACAGGAUUUAUUUUUGCUUCACCGCCGAAGCGCCAUAUGCACUCGGCUGGGGGUGCAUUUAUUGUUGCUUUACCACUGAAGCGCCAUAAGCGCUCGGCUGGGGGUGCAUUUAUUGUUGCUUUACCGGCAAAAAAGGCCGUAUGCAUGUGGCAGGGGACGCUCAGUUAUUUGUUAGUCUUAGCACAGUACGGCUUGUGGCAUUUUUUUUGAGAAAUAUAUAUAUAUAUAUAUAUAUAUAUAUUUAGUUAAGGGGGUUUGUUUUUUGUUUGCAUUUAUAUUCUGGGUUUUUUUGGUUUAUAUGUCUCUUUGGUUUGCAAUAAGUGUAAAAUGUAACGUGCAAGUCUAUGUCUUUCUGUCUUGUUACUUUCCUCUUAUACUUUCAUGAGAGAAGUGUUUAGUCACAGGCGCACACAGGGUUAACCUCCGUAGCUGUAGACUCUCUAUCUCCUGUUUGUCUCCCUCCUCCCCUUUCCCCGGCCUCCACCCCUGUGCUCCCUCCUCCCUCUGGCUUUCUGUCUCUCUCUGUCAUUCCUCCCAGCGACUCUGGCUAUAUGUCUCUCUCUGUCAUUCCUCCCAGCGCCUCCGUCUCUCUCUCUUGUGAGGUCUUGUUAAGGGGGAAUGGGUCACAAGUUUACGAAGCCCACUAGGGGCUGGCUAGCCUGUGAUAUUGUAAGGAAGAGGGAGGGUGAACAAGCAGUGGGGAAUCAGAUGAAGGAGAUCGCUAAGAUCUGUAGCAUUACUAGGUCUUCCAUACCAUGAAAGUAAAUAUAAUGCUGAAAUUAUUGUUGAAACCCCAUGCCAGCCAUCGCCCCAUCAUGGUGCCUGGCAUGGAGGGAUGGAGGUUGGUCCUGUCCCCAUGACCUCCACCCAAUUGCCAGUGUCCACAGUCACUAGCCCCUGCCCAUAUGUUCCCUGUCCUUAGAGCGGAUGAAUCAUUGUUUUCCCUCGCCCCAGCAUUCCUUCCCUGCCCGCUUACGAUAUUCCGCCCCUAUUGAGUCCGCCCCGUCAUGCUUGUCCCUGUCACUUCCCCCUUGCUAUGACCUCCCUUCCUGCCCCUUCUGCCCCUGUCAUGGCCGCCACGUCCUCUACUGCGCCUGCCAUCACUUCCUUCUCCGUCCCUGUCACGGCUGCCCACAUGAUGUCAACCCCUCUUAUGCCCGUUAUGGCACACGAACACCCAGUUAAUACGGGAGGUCUGCCCACCCUCACGUUCCAGUGGGGAGCCCAUGCUCAGUCUACCCCCUUCCAACCCUCACGUCCUCUCCCCAGCCCAUACGUUACUUAUGAAGCGCCGCAGGCCCCAGUCCUCUCCGACGAUGCCAGUUCCCAUGAGUCCCAGAUCACCCCUCCCCCUCAUCCUUCCUCCUUAGGUAGCCUAUUUGGGGAAAUCCUUCAUCACCCCAUGCUGAGAAUUCCAGAACCCCCCAGGAUGUGAAUUCCAGAGUCCCCCAGGAUCAUAAUCCUAGAGCCUAGUUCCUUACGGAUGGAACCCCUUUGAUGUAUGUCUCAUUUACCGCGUCCCAGGCCAUGACUCUGGUGGGCUCUCUCCCAGAUCCAGAGAAACAGCCUAUGCCCUUCUACCGAAGGAUUGAUGAGUCUGAUUUCCCCUCAGGUGUUGAAUUCUGUGAACAGCUCCGGCUGUGGGCCCAAGAUAAAUUAGCUGAUCAGGCUACCUGUAUUAACAAUGUCAUCCAAGAAAAGACAGAAUCUGUGGAGAAGUACCACUCUAGGUUGUCCCAAAUUCUCUGACCUGGGUUUCACUCCAAAUGCUCUCUGCGGCCUUUGUAGCAGGCCUUAAAGAAUCCAUUCGUAAAGGCCUAAUUCUGUCUUGACCUGAAUAUAGAAUAAUCCCCCUGGACACCCUCCUGUUAGUUGCUAAGGGCCUAGAGUCACCGAGGAAACCAGCUCCCUAUAUGUUCUCUGGCCCUGCACAGCUACCCCCACUGACCCCUGGGUAUGCACCGCUGCCUCCAGGCCUACCCUUGUCUCCAGGCCUACCCUUGCCUCCAAGCCUACCUAUGAGUCGGCUCACUAUGCCGCAAUACAGGAAUUGUUUUAACUGUGGUCAACCAGGUCAUUUCAGAAGAGAGUGUACUGCCCCUAGGCCCCCUAGACAGUUCCAGCAGGAUGUGAGAGAGCCUGAUUCUGCAGCCAAUUACCCCCAGUUCUCAGCUCCUUGGUUACCCCGCAGCUAAUAAUCCCACUGCCUGUUAUCCCACUGCCAGCUACCCUGUUGCCAACUAGCCCCCACCCCCCAGUCAGUAACCCUGCACCAGCCAGCAGCGGCUAGAUCUCCUACAAUAGGUAACUGGCAAACCUGUGUCUCCUUCCCCUGUCAUGGCAGUAUCUUCAGGGGAUAAGGGUGGGCCCCUAGCCACAGUCUUCCUACCUGUAGAAGGACACCCAACCACCUUAGUUGACACAGGCGCAGCCCGCAGCGUCCUUAGAGAACAAGACCUGCCUGACUCCUCUUUUCUGUCUAUCAUUGAUCUUUCUUGUGGCGGUGUAGAUGGUACCCCUCGAAGUAGCCCACUAACUAAGUUCUUACAAGUUGGCACUUACCCUCAUCUCUUGGCUCCGUUUUGUGGUUUCUUCUACCUGCCCAAUUAACCUACUGGUAGCAGAUGUACUCUCCCGCUUACAAGUCUCUAUUUCCUUCACCCCAGAUGGCCAGGUUCAGUUGUCCUCCCCCCUAUCUACUGCUGAUACUUCAGCCCUCUGCUCCAUACCCCUUCUGCUCCACAUGGAGACUCCUGAUAGGAAUGCAAGGGUCCUAGAUGGUUCCCCCAGUACCUUUGCCAGGAUACCUUCCAAGCUAUGGUCCACAGGCCCAGAAGACAUCGGACGCCUCCAAGUUCCCCCAGUUUUGGUAAAGUUAAUCCCAGGAGCCAGCGUGCCCCGUAAACCACAGUAUCCUCUGAAGCCUGCCAAAGCCCUUGCUAUUUUCCAGCAGGUAGAAAGCAUAUUGUCUAAUGGUGCCUUGGUCAAGUGUGUCUGCCUGCAACACUCCCCUGUUCCCUGUGAAGAAGAAAACUGAAAAGUGUGAGCCUGAAAAAUACAGAAUGGUUCAAGAUCUCAGAGUUGUCAAUGAGGCUACUAUUCUGGAAAUCCCUAUCGUGCCUAACCCUCCUAACUCCUGUCAGGAGUCCCACCUACCACCAAGAUCUUCACAGUGGUGGAUUUGGCUAAUGUACCCCUUGACCCCUCAUGCCAAUAUCUGUUUGCCUUCACCCAUGAACGUCAGCAAUACACCUGGAUUGUCAUGCCUCAAGGAGCUCAGAACACUCCUAGCCAAUUUGCCAAGGCUGGACUCAUGGCAAAAGUCUCACACUAAUGUGGUCCUGCUUCAAUAGGUGGAUGACCUCCUCCUCUGUGCUGAUUACCUCCCUACUACUGAACGUACUUCAGAAGAUCUGCUCUGCUACCUUGCUGAACAAGGAUGUAAGGUCUCCAAGAAGAAACUACAUUGGUGCCGGCCCUCUGUGGUCUUCCUGGGUCACUGUCUCUCACAUGGCAUCUCUGCUAUUUAUCCUCCUAAAGCACACAAGCCCCUUCAUGCCUUCUUGGCUUAAUCUCCUACUGCAGAGCCUGGACACCAGAGGCCUCUAUCCUCAUGCAACCNNNNNNNNNNNNNNNNNNNNNNNNNNNNNNNNNNNNNNNNNNNNNNNNNNNNNNNNNNNNNNNNNNNNNNNNNNNNNNNNNNNNNNNNNNNNNNNNNNNNGGGGCAGCAGCCUAUAUAUUAGGGGAGUGAGGCUGGGGGGGGCAGCAGCCUAUAGAUUAGGGGAGUGAGGCUGGGGGGGCAGCAGCCUAUAGACUAGGGGAGUGAGGCAGAGGGUGUUUGUGUGUGCGUGUUUGUUCGGGGCCUGUUAGUGUCCUGUUUGUGUGCUGUGUGUGGGUGUUUUUUGUUUGUCAGGGUGCUGUUUGUGUGUGAGUGUGCUGUUUGUGUGUGGGUGCUGUGCGGGUGUUGUGUGUGGGUUUUGUGUGUUUGUGAGGAUGCUGUUAGUGUGCCGGGUGUGUGUGGGUGUUGUAUAUGUGUGGGUGCUGUGUGUGCAAGGGUGAAGUAUGUGUGUGGGUGCUGUUUGUGGGCUGUGUGUGCUGUGUGUAGGUACUGUGGGUGUGUGUGUGCUGUAUGUUUGGGUGGAGUGGGGGCAGAUUAGUUAAUAUCCCAGUCCUGCUGCCUUCCCUGGUAGUUCAGUGUAGAGUGAACUCUAGCCCGGGUUCUCUGCUGCCUCCCUCCAUGCUGCUGUGGACCGGUGAGGUAGAACUUUGAUCUCCCCACCGGCCCAUGGAGGCUUAGACCAGAGCCGCCGCUUGGAUAGCGUCGGCUCUGCAUGAGCCGACUGGGGAGAUCCAGAGAUCUCCCCUGCCGGUCUCAAUCCAUUGGCGUGCCGCGGGGAUUAGGGUGUGCCCAGGCACACCCGACACACCCCGUGCGCACGCCUAUGGAAGUGAGGGAUGGGGGAGACAGCCUACAUGAAGAGUCAGCAAGGAGCAAGAAGGUAAAGUAAGAAAAGGAGAAGGAACAGAAAUGAGCAGGAAGGGACAUCAAGGAGCAGAAAGGGGCAGCAAGGAGCUGGAAGGGACAGCAAGGAGCACAAAAGGUAAAGUAGGAGGAGCACAAAGGAACAGAAAUGAACAGGAAGGGUCAGCAAGGAGCUGGAAGGUAAAGCAGCACAAAAGUAAAGUAGAAGGAGCAGAAAGGGUCAGAAAUGAGCUGGAAGGGGCAGAAGGAGCACAAAGGUAAAAUAGGAGAAUGAGCAGGAAGGGCCUGCAAGGAACAGGAAGGAGCACAAAGGUAAAGGAGCUGAAAGAAUCAGAAGGAGCACAAAGGUAAAGUAGAAAAGGGAGCAGAAAGGGUCUGCAAGGAGCAGAAAGGGAUCAGAAUGAGAAAGGAGCAGAAGGGCGCUAAAUAAGCAGAAAGUAGCAGAAAGGUAAAAGAGCAGAAGGGGCCAAGGAUAGAAAACAGUGUCAGAAGAAAAAAAAGACUGUCAAAUGAAGGAGAGGAAAAGGAGAUUGGAGCAGGAAGGACAAAUGAAGUGAACCCUCCACUUUAUUCUGGACACCAUAUCAUAAGGCUUUGGUACCUGGGCCAGGCAGGGAAACGCUGGACCUUCUCAUCUCCAAAGGUAAAAAAAUAUCAGUAUUAUUGUAUUCACUUUUAUUUACUGAGUGUCAGGAAGCACAGAGUGCCGUUGGGUAGGGGUGUUGCUGAUUGGCUAGAGCGGUCAGCUGGCACUCUAAGCCAAUCAGUAGCUCCCCAUUCAAAAAAAAGUAAAAAUAUUUUAUGAACCGGGAACUAGCGAUUGGCUUAGAGCGUCAACUGUCCACUCUAGCCAAUCAGCGGCACCCAUGCCUGACGUCAGUCUGCACUUCCUGACACUCUGUUUCAGAAGCCAAAUACCACUAAGCGACCUGGAGCUGGAGGAAGCCUUUGAGGUUAAACCAUUUGAGAGCAAUUUAACCCCUUAAAGGAAACCGAGCACCCAGGGGCUCCCUGGCAUAGCAUUUUCAUUUAGGUGAAGUUGUUAUGGUGACCAGAAUGGUCCUUUAAUUUGCUUAAAGGAACACUAUAGUGUCAGGAAUACAAACAUAUAUUCCUGACACCAUAGUUGUGAAAACGCUAUUCACCCUAGCUUUAUGUGAUAAUGGCUAUGCCCCUUCCCUUUCAUGACACUGUCAAAAAGGUACCAAGCAUGGAUGUCAUUACAAUUAUGCCCCCCCCUGGAAAAAUUCCUGCGGACGCCCAUGGCUCUUGGGCAUAUUGUUUAAACUGUUUUGUGUAAGGAGGGAAUGUUGGUAACAAAACGUUAUUAUAUAUUGUACAAUAACUGCAGAUAGAAAUUGCCAAAAGUGAAUUUUUCUUCCUCUUAGCAGCUGUUUUAUUGUUAAUUGUAAAAAGAUAAAGAUAAAUUCACCUUAAUAAAGUUUUAUUUCACGAUUAAUGUCUUUUCCUUCCUUAAUGCCUCUCAUGUUUUCAAACUUAAUAGAUACAUAAUUUUUUUGUGGCAAUUAGAGGACUGGAAAAGGGUAUACAAACCAAGUAAGAAGGGCCCAUACUCAAGGCAAAAUGCAAAGCCCCAUACGCAAGGCAAAAUGCAUCAGCUGACAUGUUACUAUGUAGAAUGCUUAAUUGUGCGUUGAGGAAAGCCCUAAUCUGAUUAGUGAUGUACCGAACGGUUCGCCGGCGAACGGUUCCUGGCGAACAUAGCAUGUUCGCGUUCGCCACGGCGGGCGAACAUAUGCGCGGUUCGACCCGCCCCCUAUUCGUCAUCAUUGAGUAAACUUGACCCUGUACCUCACAGUCAGCAGACACAUUCCAGCCAAUUAGCAGCACAGCCUCCCUAGCAGACCCUCCCACCUACUGGACAGCAUCCAUUUUAGAUUCAUUCUCAAGCUGCAUGCUUAGUAAAAGGAGGGAAAGUGUAGCUGCUGUUCAUAAGAUAGGGAAAAGCAUAGCUAGGUUAGGGAUAAGGGUAUGCUUUUUUUUAAUUAUUUUUUUCUAUGUAAUGUAAAUGCACUUAGUUGUCUGCCACUGCUGCCAGCUUCUGUGUCAGGCUCACGGUGCCCAUUUCCCCAGUCAGUGCCACCAAUUACAUCUGGUGUCACAAUAGCUUGGAUUUAAAAACAAAAAACUUUUUUCACUGUUAUAGAUUGAAUAGCAGUCAGUUGUCUGCCACUGCUACCAGCUUCUGUGUCAGGCUCACAGUGCAUACUGUGCCCAUUUCCCCAGUCAGUGCCACCAAUUACAUCUGGUGUCACAAUAGCUUGGAUUUAAAAACAAAAAACUUUUUUUACUGUUAUAGAUUGAAUAGCAGUCAGUGUCCUUAAAGCGGGUGUGUUACGCUAACAGUGGAUACGCUGACAAGUGCCACUGAGUAGAUCCUGUGUCACAAUAGCUUGGAUUUAAAAAAAAUAAUAAUCUUUUUUCACUGUUAUAGAUUGAAUAGCAGUCAGUGUCCUUAAAGGGUGUGUUACGCUAACAGUGGAUACUGACAAGUGCCACUAAUUAGAUCUGGUGUCACAAUAGCUUGGAUUUAAAAAAAAAACUUUUUUACUGUUAUAGAUUGAAUAGCAGUCAGUGUCCUUAAAGCGGGUGUGUUACGCUAACAGUGGAUCGUGACAAGUGCCACUAAUUAGAUCUGGUGUCACAAUAGCUUGGAUUUAAAAAAAAAUCUUUUUCACUGUAUAGAUUGAAUAGCAGUCAGUGUCCUUAAAGCGGGUGUGUUCGCUAACAGUGGAUCGCUGACAAGUGCCAUAAUUAGAUCUGGUGUCACAAUAGCUUGGAUUUAAAAAAAAAACUUUUUCACUGUUAUAGAUUGAAUAGCAGUCAGUGUCCUUAAAGCGGGUGUGUUCGCUAACAGUGGAUACGCUGACCAGUGCCACUAAUUAGAUCUGGUGUCACAAUAGUUUGGAUUUAAAAAAAAAAAUUUUUUCACUGUUAUAGAUUGAAUAGCAGUCAGUGUCCUUAAAGCGGGUGUGUUACGCUAACAGUGGAUAUGACAAGUGCCAUACUAGAUCUGUGUCACAAUAGUUUGGAUUUAAAAAAAUAAUCUUUUUCACUGUUAUAGAUUGAAUAGCAGUCAGUGUCCUUAAGCGGGUGUGUUACGCUAACAGUGGAUACGCUGACAAGUGCCACUAAUUAGAUCUGUGUCACAAUAGCUUGGAUUUAAAACAAAAACUUUUUCACUGUUAUAGAUUGAAUAGCAGUCAGUGUCCUUAAAGCGGGUGUCGCUAACAGUGGAUCACAUGACCAGUGCACUGUCUGGUGUCACAAUAGCUUGGUUUAAAAAAAAUCUUUUCACUGUUAUAGAUUGAAUAGCAGUCAGUGUCCUUAAGCGCUAACAGUGGAACAAGUGGAUCUGGUGUCACAAUAGUUUGGAUUUAAAAAAAAAUCUUUUUUCACUGUUAUAGAUUGAAUAGCAGUCAGUGUCCUUAAGCGGUUGUGUUGCUAACAGUGGAUACUGACCAGUGCCACUAAUUAGAUCCUGUGUCACAAUAGUUUGGAUUUAAAAAAAAACUUUUUACUGUUAUAGAUUGAAUAGCAGUCAGUGUCCUUAAAGCGGGUGUGUUACGCUAACAGUGGAUACGCUGACAAGUGCCACUAAUUAGAUCUGGUGUCACAAUAGCUUGGAUUUAAAAAAAAAAUCUUUUCACUGUUAUAGAUUGAAUAGCAGUCAGUGUCCUUAAAGCGGGUGUGCGCUAACAGUGGAUCGCUGACCAGUGCCACUAAUUAGAUCUGGUGUCACAAUAGCUUGGAUUUAAAAAAAACUUUUUCACUGUUAGAUUGAAUAGCAGUCAGUGUCCUUAAAGCGGGUACGCUAACAGUGGAUACGCUGACAAGUGCCAUAAUUAGAUCUGGUGUCACAAUAGCUUGGAUUUAAAAACAAAAACUUUUUUCACUGUUAUAGAUUGAAUAGCAGUCAGUGUCCUUAAAGCGGGUGUGUUACGCUAACAGUGGAUACGCUGACAAGUGCCACUAAUUAGAUCUGGUGUCACAAUAGUUUGGAUUUAAAAAAAAUCUUUUUUCACUGUUAUAGAUUGAAUAGCAGUCAGUGUCCUUAAAGCGGGUGUGUUAACAGUGGAUACGCUGACAAGUGCCACUAAUUAGAUCUGGUGUCACAAUAGCUUGGAUUUAAAAAAAAACUUUUUCACUGUUAUAGAUUGAAUAGCAGUCAGUGUCCUUAAAGCGGGUGUGUAACAGUGGAUACGGUGACCAGUGCCACUAAUUAGAUCUGGUGUCACGUUUGGAUUUAAAGUUAUAGAUUGAAUAGCAGUCAGUGUCCUUAAAGCGGGUGUGUUACGCUAACAGUGGAUACGCUGACCAGUGCCACUAAUUAGAUCUGGUGUCACAAUAGUUUGAUUUAAAAAAAAAACUUUUCACUGUUAUAGAUUGAAUAGCAGUCAGUGUCCUUAUGUGUUGCUAACAGUGGAUACGCUGACAAGUGCCACUAAUUAGAUCUGUGUCACAAUAGUUUGGAUUUAAAAAAUAAUCUUUUUCACUGUUAUAGAUUGAAUAGCAGCAGUGUCCUUAAAGCGGUGUGUUAGCGUGGAUACGCUGACCAGUGCCACUAAUUUAGAUCUGGUGUCACAAAGCUUGGAUUUAAAAACAAAAACUUUUUUCACUGUUAUAGAUUGAAUAGCAGUCAGUGUCCUUAAAGCGGGUGUGUUAAGCUAACAGUGGAUACGUGACCAGUGCCAUAAUUAGAUCUUGUCACAAUAGCUUGGAUUUAAAAAAAAAAAUUUUUUCACUGUUAUAGAUUGAAUAGCAGUUAGUUAUCUUCAAGCUGGUGUCAGGCCUACAGCCUGUGCUCUGCACAAUGUGCCAGUGCACAUUGCCACCAUAUCUGGUCUCACAGUAGCUUGCCGCACGGUACCACUAAUCCCAACAAAAAUGACAGGCAGAGGCAGGCCACCCAAGCAUGCCAUCGUGGUGCUGUGUGAUUCCCUUUGGCCCUAGAAUAAUGCCCAGUUUUCAGAGGCCACAUUACCCGAACUUGAAAAGUUCUGAGGACAUAGUUGACUGGCUAACACAGGACACCCAAUCUUCUACAGCCUCCGCUCAGAACCUUGGCGCACCAUCCUCCUCCAGCUUAGCUUCAGGCACCUCUCAAGAUACCACUCACCGCCUGCCGCCACCACCAAAACUAGCACCACGCAGCGUUGGUAUGUCAGAGGAGUUAUUCACAUCCGUUUGAAGAAAUGAGGAUCGCCAACCAUUAUUGCCAGAGGAUGUAGAUAACGGGAUAUGUCUCAGGCAGGCAGCAUUACAACAUGGACGCGGUGUGAUGAUGAUGAUGAUGUUGUACCCGCUGCUGCUUCCUUUGCUGAGUUGUCAGAUACAAGUGAAGCGGUUGAUGAUGACGAUCGCCAUGGAUGUCACGUGGGUGCCCUCGUCAAGAAGAAGAACAGGGUGAAAGUUCAGAUGGGGAGACAGGGAGGAGGAGGAGGCGAGUUGGAAGCAGGGGGAGGUCGCGCAAGGGAGCUAGUGGCACAGUCAGACAGCAUGCACGAGCACCCGGGUCAGCCGACAGCACGCCAAUCAGCAUGCUGUGUCCACCACCAGAAUGCCGUCAUUGCAGAGCUCAGCAGUGUGGAAUUUUUUGUGUGUCUGCCUCUGACAACAGCGUGCCAUUUGCAACCUGUGCCAAAGAAACUGAGUCGUGGGAAGUCCAACACCCACCUAGGUACAACUGCUUUGCGUAGGCACAUGAUCUCACAUCACGCCUAUGGGAUCAACACAUGGAGUACAAGCAGCUCGCCUACUCUAAGCCGCCAGCCUCCUCCUGGUCAAGCAUCUUCGGCCACGUCAACCACUGCUGUCCUCCUUGUCCCCUCUCAACCAUCCGCCACUCCGCCUCCCGCCUUGAGCAGUUCACGCUCAUCUUCCCACAGUCAUGUGUCUGUCAAGGACAUGUUUGAGCGUAAGAAGACAAUGUCAGAAAGUCACCCCCUUGCCCAGCGUCUGACUGCUGGCUUGUCGAACUAUUAGCCCGCCAGCUUUUACCAUACAAGCUGGUGGAGUCUGAGGCGUUCAAAAAAUUUGUAGCUAUUGGGACACCGCAGUGGAAGGUACCCGGCCGAAAUUACUUUUCGCAAAAGGCAAUCCCCAACCUGUACUCAAUUGUACAAAAGGAAGUAAUAGCAUCUCUGGCACACAGUGUUGGGGCAAGGGUCCAUUUGACCACUGAUACCUGGUCUGCAAAGCAUGGUCAGGGCAGGUAUAUCACCUACACUGCGCAUUGGUAAACCUGCUGACUGCUGCCAAGCAUGGAAUGCAUGGCUCUGCAGAGGAGUUGGUGACACCGCCACGACUUGCAGGCAGUCCUGCUGCCACCUCCUCUACUCCUCCUACUCCAUCCUCUUCCAUAACCUCCUCGGCUGAGUCCUCUUCUGCUGCUGCGUCUUGAUCCACAUCAACGGCACCCCCCAGCUCCCAGAGUACUAUUCCACAUCCGGAUCACGGUAUUUAUCCGCGCCGUCUUAGGUUUGGGCACUUGAAAGCAGAGAGUCACACCGGGGACGAGCGCUCCUGUCGCCAUGAGCGCUGCCAAAAGGUGGAAAAGUGGCUGACUCCGCAGCGACUGGAUAUCAGCAAAGUGGUUUGUGACAACGGAACAAAUUUGUUAGCGGCAUUGAAGUUGGGCAAGUUGUCACAUGUGCGUGCAUGGCACAUGUGUGUAAUCUGAUCGUACAACGCUUUGUGCAUAAGUACAUAGGCUUACAGGACAUCCUGAAGCAGGCCAGGAAGGUGUGUGGCCAUUUCAGGCGUUCCUACACGGCCAUGGCUCACUUUGCCGAUAUCCAGCGGCGAAACAACAUGCCAGUGAGGCGCUUGAUUUGCGACAGCCCGACACGUUGGAAUUCAACACUCCUAAUGUUCGACCGCCUGCUCCAACAAGAAAAAGCCGUUAAUGAAUAUUUGUAUGACCGGGGUGCUAGGACAGCCUCUGGGGAGCUGGGAAUUUUUUUGCCACGUUACUGGACGCUCAUGCGCAAUGCCUGUAGGCUCAUGCGUCCUUUUGAGGAGGUGACAAAUUUAGUCAGUCGCACCGAAGGCACCAUCAGUGACAUCAUACCAUUUGUUUUCUUCCUGGAGCGUGCCCUGCGAAGAGUGCUGGAUCAGGCCGUAGAUGAGCGUGAAGAGGAAGAGGAAGAGUUGUGGUCACCAUCACCUCCAGAAACAGCCUUAUCAGCAUCGCUUGCUGGACCUGCGGCAACGCUGGAAGAGGAUUGUGAGGAAGAGGAGGCAGAGGAGGAAUGUGGCUUUGAGGGGGAGGAAGAGGAGGAGCAAGACCAACCACAACAGGCAUCCCAGGGUGCUCGUUGUCACCUAUCUGGUACCUGUGGUGUUGUACGUGGCUGGGGGAAGAAAAUACCUUCAUUGACAUCAGUGAGGAGGAGGAACGGGAAAUGAGUAGCUCGGCAUCCAACCUUGUGCAAAUGGGGUCUUUCAUGCUGUAGUGCCUGUUGAGGGACCCUAGUAUAAAAAGGCUGAAGGAGAACGACCUGUACUGGGUGUCUACGCUACUAGACCCCCGGUAUAAGCAGAAAGUGGCGGAAAUGUUACCGAAUUACAACAAGUAUGAAAGGAUGCAGCAUUUGCAAAAUAAAUUGAAAAGUAUGCUUUACACAGCGUAUAAGGGUGAUGUCACAGCACAACGGGAAUCUAACAGGGGGAGAGGUGGAAGUCAUCCUCCUCCUCCCAUGACCACGCCGGCAAGGACAGGACGCUUUAGAGACGUGUUGUUGAUGGAGGACAUGCAGACCUUUUUAAGUCCCACGCAUCGCCACAGCCCUUCGGGAUCCACCCUCAGAGAGCGACUCGACCGACAGGUAGCAGACUACCUCGCCUUAACUGCAGAUAUCGACACUCUGAGGAGCGAUGAACCCCUUGACUACUGGGUGUGCAGGCUUGACCUGUGGCCCGAGCUAUCCCAAUUUGCGAUAGAACUUCUGGCCUGCCCCGCUUCAAGUGUCCUGUCAGAAAGGACCUUCAGUGCAGCAGGAGGUAUUGUCACUGAGAAGAGAAGUCGCCUAGGUCAAAAAAGUCUAGAUUACCUCACCUUUAUUAAGAUGAAUGAGGAUGGAUCCCGAAGGGACUGACUGGAAGCGAUACAUUAGAUUUAAAAGGGCCUGUGGGGAUGAGCUGCCCUUGGGCUAAAAAUGGUCCCUGCAGCUGCUGUAUUUUUAGCUCUGAAUGCCUGUUGACUUGCGUGACUGAUCGCCACCCAACUUGAGUUCAAGCCGCCAUCUUUUAGGGCACUUUUCUGCCUGUGAAACAAACAUCAGUUAUAAGAUUGAAUAUUAAAUUCCGUUUGUCUCCAGCAGAUUGUGUCAGCCCUACGAAGUAUGCUCUGCCAAUGCGCUGCCACCUCCUCUACUCCUCCUACUCCAUCCUCUUCCAUAACCUCCUCGGCGAGUACUCUUCUGCUGCUGCGUCUUUGCUCCACAUCAGCGGAUAGAGUAACGAUGAUAAACUGAUAACAAUAGUACCCCAAACACACCACUCACUCACUGGUGUCUAGCCAAGCUUGGAUUUAAAACAAAAUUUUUUCACUGUUAUAGAUUGAAUAGCAGUCAGUGUCCUUAAAGUGGGUGUAUCCAGCCCACCUAGCGUGUACUCUGCGGAUUUACAGUGCCACUCAUAUCCUUACCACCAGAAUGCCGUCAUUGCAGAGCUCAGCAGUGUGGUAUUUUUUUUGUGUGUAUGCCUCUGACAACAGCGAUGCCAUUUACAACCUGUGCCAAAAUAAACUGAGUCGUGGGAAGUCCAACACCCACCUAGGUACAACUGCUUUGAUCGCACAUCACAAACGCCUAUGGGAUCAACACAUGAAUACAAGCAGCACACAAACUCAAAGCCGCCAUCCUCCUCCUGGUCCAGCAUCUUCAGCCACGUCAACCACUGCUGUCCUACUUGCCCCCUCUCAACCACUAUCCGCCACUGCCCCGCCACGCAGUUCCACACGCUAUCUUCCAUAACCUCCUCACUGAGUCCUUGUUCCCUGCUGCCAAGCGUGUAUUGCUCCACAUCAACGGAUAGGGGGCGUAACAGUGAUUAAACUGAUAACAAUAGUACUAAACACACCACUCACUCAUUGGUGUCACAAUAGCUUGGAUUUAAAAACAAAUUAUUUUUUUCACUGUUAUAGAUUGAAUAGCAGUUAGUUAUCUUCAAGCAGGUGUGUCAGCCCUACAGCGUACUCUGCCAGUACGCUGCCACCUCCUCUACUCCUCCUACUCCAUCCUCUUCCAUAACCUCCUCGGCUUAGUCCUCUUCUGCUGCUGCGUCUUGCUCCACAUCAACGGAUAGGGGCGUAACAGUGAUUAAACUGAUAACAAUAGUACUAAACACACCUCUCACUCACUGGUGUCACAAUAGCUUGGAUUUAAAAACAAAAAAUUUUUUUCACUGUUAUAGAUUGAAUAGCAGUUAGUUAUCUUCAAGCAGGUGUGUCAGCCCUACAGCGUGUACUCUGCCAGUACGCUGCCACCUCCCCUCUACCCUUCUACUCCAUCCUCUUCCAUAACCUCCUCAAGCUAGCCCCUUCCUCUUUCUGCUGCUGCCUUGCCCACAUCAACGGAGCAUGGCCAGUGAUUGGAUAACAAUAGUACCAAAACAAUACCACUCACCUCACUGGUGGCACAAUAGCUUGGAUUUAAAAACAAAAAACUUUUUUCACUGUUAUAGAUUGAAUAGCAGUUAGUUAUCUUCAAGCAGGUGUGUCAGCCCUACAGCGUGUACUCUGCCAGUACGCUGCCACCUCCUCUACUCCUCCUACUCCAUCCUCUCCAUAACCUCCUCGGCUUAGUCCUCUUCUGCUGCUGCGUCUUGCUCCACAUCAACGGAUAGGGGGCGUAACAGUGAUUAAACUGAUAACAAUAGUACUAAACACACCACUCACUCACUGGUGUCACAAUAGCUUGGAUUUAAAAACAAAAAAAUUUUUCACUGUUAUAGAUUGAAUAGCAGUUGGGUUAUCUUCAAGCAGGUGGUGUCGGGGCCCUACAGCUGUAUCACUCUGCCAGUACGCUGCCACCUCCUCUAAGUAAUUCUACUCCAUCCUCUUCCAUAACCUCCUCGCUUAGUCCUCUUGCCAAAGCUGCUGCCUUGCCCACACAUCAACGGAUAGGGGGCGUAACAGUGAUUAAACUGAUAACAAUAGUACUAAACACACCACUCACUCACUGGUGUGUCAAUAGCUUGGAUUUAAAAACAAAAAAAUGUUUUCACUGUUAUAGAUUGAAUAGCAGUUAGUUAUCUUCAAGCAGGUGUGUCAGCCCUACAGCGUGUACUCUGCCAGUACGCUGCCACCUCCUCUACUCCUCCUACUCCAUCCUCUUCAUAACCUCCUCGGCUUAGUCCUCUUCUGCUGCUGCGUCUUGCUCCACAUCAACGGAUAGGGGGCGUAACAGUGAUUAAACUGAUAACAAUAGUACCAAACACACCACUCCUAUCUGGUGGCACAUUAGAUUGCACGCGCAGUGCCCCAAAUUUGUUGUGAUCUGUGAGUAAGGUAAACGGUUGUCCAUACAAGUAGGUUGCAGCUUUUUGAGGCCCACACCACCGCUAUGCACUCCUUUUCAAUGGCAGUGAAUAUACUUCGCUGUGCAAAAGUUUACGGCUUAGAUAAGCCCCGGGUUGCUAGCCACCAUCUGCUCCGACUUGGCUCAAUACUGCCCCCAAUCCAAGCAUAGAAGCGUCUGUAUGGACGAGAAAGUGUUUAGUUGGAUCAGGAGAAGAAAGUACAGGUGAUUUAAUGAGCGCCGUCUUGAGCUGUUGGAAGGCCUGUUCACAUUCUGGGGCCCAUACUACUAUCUUGGGAGGCUUUUGCACGCUCCUAUGGCACUUACUGGGCUUUAGGUCAGUCCGACUCCCUAAUCCGCCCAUUACGCUCCUAUGUGGGUCAGGUACCCGGGCCAGGAGCUGCUAAAAAUGCUCCAUAUACUCAUCCAAGUGGUGUAAAAAUAGUGUGUGUGUAUUAGGAUCCUUAGGACAGGUGUCAAUCCAUAUCUUCGCCAAGUGACCCUAUGUUGGGGUAACAUUCCCUAUUCUGAUCUGUGUCAGUGUGUAUCAGGGGCUCUGAGCACAGGUGUCAAUCCAUAUCUGCCAAGUGACCCUAUGUAGGGGGAACAGUCUCUAUUCUGCUCUGUGUCAGUGUGUAUCAUGAUCUCUGAGGACAGGUGUCAAUCCAUAUCUACCAAGUGACCCUAUGUAGGGGGAACAGUCUCUAUUGUGCUCUGUCAGUGUGUACCAGGGGCUCUGAGGACAGGUGUCAAUCCAUAUCUGCCAAGUGACCCUAUGUAGGAGGAACAGUCUCUAUUCUGCUGUGUGUUAGUGUGUAUCAGGGGCUCUGAGGACAGGUGUCAAUCCAUAUCUGCCAAGUGACCCUAUGUAGGAGGAACAGUNNNNNNNNNNNNNNNNNNNNNNNNNNNNNNNNNNNNNNNNNNNNNNNNNNNNNNNNNNNNNNNNNNNNNNNNNNNNNNNNNNNNNNNNNNNNNNNNNNNNGAGCCUGACACACCCGCUUUGAGACAACUAGCUGCUAUUCAAUCUAUAACAGUGAAAAAAGUUUUUUAGUUUUUAAAUGCACGCUAUUGUGACACCAGAGAGUGAGUGGUGGCACUGGACACAGUAUCCACUGUGAGCCUGACACACCCGCUUUGAGACAACUAACUGCUAUUCAAUCUAUAACAGUGAAAAAAGUUUUUUAGUUUUUAAAUGCAUGCUAUUGUGACACCAGUGAGUGAGUGGUGGCACUGAGCACAGUAUCCAAUGUGAGGCUGACACAGACACUGGCAGACAACUAACUGCUAUUCAAUCUAUAACAGUGAAAAAAGUUUUUUGGUUUUUAAAUGCACGCUAUUGUGACACCAGUGAGUGAGUGGUGGCACUGGGCACAGUAUCCACUGUGAGCCUGACAAAGACGCUGGCAGACAACUAACGGCUAUUCAAUCUAUAACAGUGAAAAAAGUUUUUUGUUUUUAAAUGCAAGCUAUUGUGACAUCAGUGAGUGAGUGGUGGCACUGGGCACAGUAUCCACUGUGAGCCUGACACACCCGCUUUGAGACAACUAACUGCUAUUCAAUCUAUAAUAGUAAAAAAAGUUUUUUGGUUUUUAAAUGCACGCUAUUGUGACACCAGUGAGUGAGUGGUGGCACUGGGCACAGUAUUCACUGUGAGCCUGACACACCCGCUUUGAGACAACUAACUGCUAUUCAAUCUAUAACAGUGAAAAAAGUUUUUUUGUUUUAAAUGCAAGCUAUUGUGACACCAGUGAGUGAGUGGUGGCACGGGGCACAGUAUCCACUGUGAGCCUGACACAGAAGCUGGCAGACAACUAACUGCUAUUCAAUCUAUAACAGUGAAAAAAGUUUUUUGUUUUUAAAUGCAAGCUAUUAUGACACCAGAUAUGAGUGGCACUGUAAACUGGCAGAGUACACGCUGUAGGGCUGACACACCCGCUUUGAGACAACUAACUGCUAUUCAAUCUAUAACAGUGAAAAAAAAGUUUUUUGUUUUUAAAUGCAAGCUAUUGUGACACCAGUGAGUGAGUGGUGGCACUGGGCACAGUAUCCACUGUGAGCCUGACACACCCGCUUUAAGGACACUGACUGCUAUUCAAUCUAUAACAGUGAAAAAGUUUUUGGGUUUUAAAUGCAAGCUAUUGUGACACCAGUGAGUGAGUGGUGGCACUGGGCACAGUAUCCACUGUGAGCCUGACACACCCGCUUUGAGACAACUAACUGCUAUUCAAUCUAUAACAGUGAAAAAAGUUUUUUGGUUUUAAAUGCAAGCCAUUGUGACACCAGUGAGUGAGUGGUGGCACUGGGCACAGUAUCCACUGUGAGCCUUACACACCCGCUUUAAGGACACUGACUGCUAUUCAAUCUAUAACAGUGAAAAAAGUUUUUUGUUUUUAAAUGCAAGCUAUUGUGACACCAGUGAGCGAGUGGUGGCACUGGGCACAGUAUCCACUGUGAGCCUGACACACCCGCUUAAGGACACUGACUGCUAUUCAAUCUAUAACAGUGAAAAAAGUUUUUUGUUUUUAAAUGCAAGCUAUUGUGACACCAGAUAUGAGUGGCACUGUAAACUGGCAGAGCACACGCUGUAGGGCUGACACACCCGCUUUGAGACAACUAACUGCUAUUCAAUCUAUAACAGUGAAAAAAGUUUUGGGGUUUUUAAAUGCACGCUACUGUGACACCAGUGAGUGAGUGGUGGCACUGGGCACAGUAUCCACUGUGAGCCUGACACACCCGCUUUGAGACAACUAACUGCUAUUCAAUCUAUAACAGUGAAAAAAGUUUUUUGGUUUUUAAAUGCACACUAUUGUGACACCAGAUAAGAGUGGCACCGUGAACUGGCAGAGUACACGCUAUAGGCCUGACACACCCGCUUUGAGACAACUAACUGCUAUUCAAUCUAUAACAGUGAAAAAAGUUUUUUGUUUUUAAAUGCAAGCUAUUGUGACACCAGUGAGUGAGUGGUGGCACUGACUGGGCAAAUGGGCACAGUAUCCACUGUGAGCCUGACACAGAAGCUGGCAGCAGUGGCAGACAACCAACUGCUAUUCAAUCUAUAACAGUGAAAAAAGUUUUUUGUUUUUAAAUGCAAGCUAUUGUGACACCAGAUAUGAGUGGCACUGUGAACUGGCACAGUAUCCACUGUGAGCCUGACACACCCGCUUUGAGACAACUAACUGCUAUUCAAUCUACAACAGUGAAAAAAGUUUUUUGUUUUUAAAUGCAAGCUAUUGUGACACCAGUGAGUGAGUGGUGGCACUGGGCACAGUAUCCACUGUGAGCCUGACACACCCGCUUUAAGACAACUAACUGCUAUUCAAUCUAUAACAGUGAAAAAAGUUUUUUUUUAAAUGCAAGCUAUUGUGACACCAGUGAGUGAGUGGUGGCACUGGGCACAGUAUCCACUGUGAUCCUGACACACCUGCUUUGAGACAACUAACUGCUAUUCAAUCUAUAACAGUGAAAAAAGUUUUUGGGUUUUAAAUGCAAGCUAUUGUGACACCAGUGAGUGAGUGGUGGCACUGGGCACAGUAUCCACUGUGAUCCUGACACACCUGCUUUGAGACAACUAACUGCUAUUCAAUCUAUAACUGUGAAAAAGGGUUUUUGGUUUUUAAAUGUACGCUAUUGUGACACCAGUGAGUGAGUGGUGGCACUGGGCACAGUAUCCACUGUGAGCCUGACACAGAACCUGGCAGGCAGGCAACUGCAAUUUCAUUACACAGAAAAAAAAAAAAAAAAAAGCAGACUGAUGUUCUACCCCUAAAAAGAUCAGAUGAGUCCUUCAGGACUGUAGUGGACACUGUAUACCCUAACCUAGCUAUGCAUUUCCCUAUCUAAUCAACAGCAGCUACACUUUCCCUCCUCUCACUAAGCAUGCAGCUUGAGAAUGAAUGUAAAAUGGAUGCCUUCCUGUAGGUGGGAGGGUCUGCUAGGGAGGGUGUGCUGCUAAUUGGCUGUAAUGUGUCUGCUGACUGUGAGGUACUGGGUCAAAGUUUAUUCAAUGAUGACGAAUAGGGGGCGGAUCGAACCGCGCAUAUGUUCGCCCGCCGUGGCGAACGCGAACAUGCUAUGUUCGCCGGGAACUAUUCGCCAGCGAACCGUUCGGUGCAUCACUAGUUUUAGGGUGUCAUGGAAAGUUACAGGAUUAAAUAUAGUGCUAGCAAAUUAAAUUCCCUAGACUUUCGGCCUGGGUUGUCAGGCAGGUCCCGCAAAUUGUAAUUAAUAAAAUGACCUAAUUAUGUAAAAUUGUUACAUAAAUAUAUAUGUAUAAUUAUAUAUAUAUAUAUAUAUAUAUAUACGUGUGUGUAUAUAUAUAUAUAUAUAUACAUAUAUAUAUAUAUAGAUAGAUAGAUAUAAAUAAAUAUAUGUUUUUUUUUUUAAUUAUUUUUAUUUAUAUAUAUAGGUAUAUAUAAAUAGUGAUAUAUAUGUAUAUACUUAUGUACUUAUGUAUAUAGAUAUAUGUACUAUUUCGUUGAAAAAAGGAAGAAAAGGAACACUGCCUAAAGGAUAUAAAUAUGAGUAUAAAAAGAUAAACUUUAAUAGUGAACGAGAUACAAAGUGAUUAUUUUGCACAUUCACUCUUGGUACGUCUAGGUAUUUGCAUACAGAGGCAUCAAGAGAUAUUUAUGCAGAAUUGUAAGAUUUAAAAGGACAAACAACACUUGAUUCAGUGAAGAUGUCAUCAGCAAAUGUCAAUUGUAUCUACUGCAACAGUUGUCUCGUGUUACAGUUAGUAUAGAGUAUUCUGUUACAAUGGAUCAAACUCUAACAGAUAUAUACUGUCUGCAGCUGCAGUUUCUACAGAAUACUCUUUUACAAAAAUAAAAAAACGAAAAUUAGACACUAAAAUCGUUUUGACAACACAAGGACAUAUACUGUCUAAUGUUUUUGCCUAGAAGUAUGUUGUAGUUAGGAUAUAUAUCCUUUACUUGAGAGAGCACCUACUCUGGUUGGUUACUAAUAUAUCACCCCAGUGAUAUUAUACCAUGAAAAAGUAGAUAAGAAGAAAUAGUUACUGUGCCUUCAAGGGCACCUACCAGAUAUGAGGGCUAACUACAGGUAAUAGAGAAAGGAAAGAGGGAGAAAAAAAUAUAUAUAUAUGUAAAUGUCCUUUCAGUUAUAACUGUGCCUUCAAGGGCACCUCUCUAGUAUACAAACUAACUAACUAGCGUUAAAUAGCUGUAGUCACGGUGGAUAUAAUGUGUUGUCUGCUACACUUUAUCUAGUGUCACUGCGCUGAAAGCGCUUAAAAGAAUGGAGCCACAGAAAUUAUAUGCGGCUAAAUCCUAGAAUCCCUCCCAAAGUACACCAAAAGCUAAUAUAGCUAUUAGUUCCAAUAAGGAUGUCCAGAGGUGAUUGCUGCAAGUGCAUAGAAUGUGAUGCUGGGAAGGAUCAGAAAAAAGGGGUUUUUCUGAUCCUUCCCAGCAUCACAUUUAGCCGCAUAUAAUUUCUAUAUAGUUUAUAUUAACUUUCUUUAGUUGCUGCAGCACCUUGUCUUGAGUUAACCAAUUACAAUUAUUCUGCAAGUUUUUAGUAGCAAUCAUUUGCACAUCUAUUGCCAUGGGUUCUUCCUUAAUAUAUACGGAGGAGAAAUAGUUAUUUAAAAUUCCUGCCUUUUCCUGGUCUUCAUUAACUAACACCCCCGUUUCAGUUUUUAGUGUACCUACACUUUCAUUUUGGUUUUUUUUAGAAUUUAUGUACUUAAAAAAUGCUUUGGGGUUGGUUUUGCUCUCUUCAGCUAUCAUUAUUUCAUUUUGAAGUUUAGCAAGUCUAAUUGCCUUUUUGCACACAUUAUUUGCAUCCUUAUAUCUUUUAUAAGAUGCAUCUGAUUUGUCCGAUUUAAAUGCUUUAAAUGCCCUUCUCUUAGUUGUAAUCUCUUGUUUUACUUCUCUACUAAGCCACGUUGGUUUUAAUUUGUUUCUUUUAUCUGCUCUCCUGCAUUUAGGGGGAAGCUAGUUAUGGCUGCAUGGGGUGGCUGAGUGUUGUGUUUUUGGGGGGAGGCAGUGUGUGUUGGGGUGAGUUGUGUGUAUGUUAGGGGAGAAGGUUGAGUGUGUUGGGCUAAGCCCGCCGAACACCUCUCCUUUAUUUUUUUAAUACAUUUUGCCCCUCCUACUUACAUUUUGGCAGGAUAUAAAUAAUUCCUGGUGGUCCUUUCUGGACAGGAUCCUUGGUAAACCAGUGGUCCAGCAGUGAUGUCAUCACAGGGGGCCCGAGCAGCGCUGUUAAAGCGCCCAGCACUGACCGGGCCCCUGACAAUCCAUACACGGGCCGGGGCCGCAAAACGUAGCAGCUGGUACCCGGUUGCGGGGGUCCGCAGGGCAGCCGGGCCCCCUGCAGUAAUGGGCCCGGUCGCAGUUGUGGCCCCUGUGACCGUGGUAUGUACACCGCUGACAGGUAUGCAGUGUGUGCACUGAAUGUGGUGUGUAUAGUGUAUGUAGAAUGCAGAGUGCGUUUGUAAAGUGGAUGCAGUGAGUGUGCAAUGGAUGCAGUGUGUAUAGUGGAUACAGAUUGUACAUUGUAUGUGGGGUAUACUAGUUGCAGAGUGUGUUUGUGUAGUGGAUGUAGUGUGUGUAUAGUGAAUGCAGAGUGUGUUUGUGUAGUGGAUGUAGUGUUUGUGUGUAUUAGAUGCAGUGUGUAUAGUGCAUGCAGAGUGUGUUUGUGUAGUGGAUGCAGUGCAUGUAUAUUGAAUGCAGAGUUUGUGUAUGUGUAAUGGAUGUAGUGAUUGUGUGUAUUAGAUGCAGUGUCUAUAGUUAAUGGAGAGUGUGUAUAGUGAAUGCAGAGUAUGUAUAGUGUAUACAGAAUGUAUGUUUGUGUAUAGUGAUUUCAGUGGGCAUAUUUGUGUAGGGAUGUAGUGUGUGUAUAGUGAAAGCAGUGUAUGUGUAGGCAUGUAGUGUGUAUAUGGACUGCAGAGUGUGUGUUUGAGUGUGUGCAGAGUAUGUGUUUGUGUAGGGAUAUAGUGUGUGUAUAGUGAAUGCAGUGUGUAUUUGUGUAGGCAUGUAGCAUGUAUAUAACAAAUGCAGAAGGUGUGUUUGUGUAGUGGAGGUAGUGUGUAUAGUAAUGCAGUGAGUAUGUUUGUGUAGUGGACGUAGAGUGUGUCUGUGUAUUGGAGGUAGUGUAUAGUGAAUUCAGUGUUUGUGUGUUUGUGUAGUGUGUAUAGUGAAUGCAGUAUGUGUGUGUGUUUGUGUAGUGGAGGUAGUGUGUGUAUAGUGAUUGCAUAGUGUGUGUGUGUUUAGUGAAUGCAGAGUAUGUAUUUGUGUAAGAAUGUAGUGUAUGUAAAAUAGGGGCUGCAAUUGGUGGGGGAGAGGGUAGAGCAUUUUUAAUAUUUUGUUUACAUUUCUUUUAAACAACAUUUUAUUUUAGUGCCCCCUCCCUGCUUCUUACCUGGCCAGGGAGGGGUGAAAUCGCAUUCCCUUGUGGUCUGGUAGUAUGGUGCUCGGAGCCAGGUGCUGUUCACAGCAGAGGGGCCCAGCAGACUUGGUCUUCACUUCCCAGCAGCUCCCUGUUCUCCAAUUCUUGCAAGGCCAGCCUGUGUGCCACCCAAAACAUUGCCAUGGUAACCACUGGCAACUCUCUGAUGGCCGCGGGGCUCGCGAUAGUUAGAGACAGAGGAGUUGCUGGGAAGUGAAGAAAGAGUCUGCUGGGCCCCCUCUCCUGUGAACAGGGAGCCGGGCCCGCAGGUACACAUAUAUAUAGUGAAAAUCGCUAUAUAUCUGUGCACAUAGGAAAUGUGCGGUCCUGAACUCCCAGAGCAGGCAAGGCCCCACAGGUUUUAAUGCUCUGAUGGUGGCCCUGGGUUCCAAGGUGGUUACCUAUGCCACCCCAUGGAUAAUCUGGCUCUGACCUUUACAUUUCCUCCUAUUCAGGGUGUAGCGGAGUUGCAAUAUUAAAUUCCAUGAUCUCCGUUGGUACAGAAGGUAAUCCACAGCCAAGCGCUGAAAAGUAAGGCAAUAUCCCAAAUCCCCCAGUAACCGGACGAAACACAGUUCUAGGAGUCAACUGAGGUUUUUAUUCAGAGGUCACAGUAUUUAUGCAAGUCCCCAUGCAAGGGGUUUCCCUACUGACACAGCAGGGGUAAUACAGUAGGGGACUACAUGGGGGACUUAACAUUCUGGACAUUUCUCCCAUCAGGCACUGCUGGACGAGAGGGAUACUCCCACUGGAAUUUACCGUUAAGUGGAUUAUCCCUCCGUGCAGCAGAACCGGCAUUUUACAUUAAAAUACACAACUUUAACAAUACUUAGUCUAUUCAAACGAAUGGACGUUCGGUAGAUAGCUGGGGUCUGAGUGCACAUUUAGUGGGAACACCGCUCAGAUCCCAGCUAAAACAACGAAACGCCACACGAAAUACACUUUGCCAUUGAGUUCGCCCCAAAAGUACCGAACACCGAUGGGGAACCACAACAGCGAGAGACCGGAGCUCCCGAACAGCCUGGAAGUCCAGCGGUGUUCGCGCCGUUGAGUAGCCGUUUUCAGUUCCACGCGCUCGAUGGCCAAACACCGCUGGUGAGACAAAGGAUCCAAGAUGGCCGACAGUCGCGUGGUCGGUAGCCGAACGACGGCCACCUAGGAAAAUCUCUAAUUACCGAUUGCAACACACGUCCCUCUAUGUGUGGGCUAUUAGGGGGUAGCUCAUUCGGUUCACGAACAGCCAGUAACGUCGCUGUUCGUGAAACGAAACACAUGAAUGCUAGCGGCUUUCGGCUGCUAGCAUAUGAAUUCCAUGCACAUCACAGUAUCCACCCAGGUUUACACAUACAUUACAGCGGUUAUUUCCUGUCCUAAUGUGUUUUACACCCCACCUCCUAUAGAAUGUAAGCUCGAUUGAGCAGGGUCCUCUUCAACCUAUUGUUCCUGUUAGUUUAUUUGUAAUUGUCCUAUUUAUAGUUAAAUCCCCUCUCAUAAUAUUGUAAAGCGCUACGGAAUCUGUUGGCGCUAUAUAAAUGGCAAUAAUAAUAAUAAUUGUUAUUAUUAUUAUUAUUACAGACAACCUUUUUAUACAUAUAGUCCAGCAUCCCACAAGUGGCUAGGUUUGCCACACAGGGGUUGUCUGUUCUGUGCAUAGUUGGCAUCUAUUGGAAGCACCCCUCAGGCUGUUCUCUGUCAUCAUUCCCCCUUAAGCAAGGUGAAAGUGACAUCACAGGAGCUGGAUUGGGCUGUUGAGAGAUUCAGGUGGUCAAGGUGACUUUUUAAUAUUUUUCUUUAUGGUUUUGGGAGGGUAAGACAUGCAUCAGUGUAGGAACCAAUCAAAACCUUGGUUGCAGGAUUUCACAAUUAUCCCAUCCCCACAUGGCUAGCACUAAUAAGAGUUUGUUUCCAGUUUGAUGAACUGUGUUAAUCCAGGGAAGCCCUUGUUUUUUUUAAUCUUGAUUUUUACUUUUCAAUAAAUUCUAAUAAAGAACACUAUGGCUCUCUUCUAUCUGUAUCUGAAUUUUCCCCACACACUUAAUUCCUACACCCGUGGGGUGCCAGUAAGGGUUGAGCUUCCAAUCUCUAAAAUGGCUCUUAGAGACAAACAUCUGUUUACAAAGUAGAAAAUUGUAUCAAUUGCAACUGGUAAUUACCCUCUGAUGAGUCUUAAUGGCUCCUAUGGAGAAUACAAAGAGAUAUUAUGUGCUUUUUACCAACACACUGCCAUGCUGCAUACUAAAUUUUACUGGCUGUCACUAUUUAACCAAAUGUAAAUGCUGCUUCAGCUAGGUGUAAAGAGAAAACCUCAAGAUAACAACUGUUACAUCAUAUAAAAAUGCCAAAUUUUAAAGGAUCACUAUAGUGCUCUGAGGGUGCUCCCACCCUCAGGGUCCCCCUUCCGUGGCACUGAACGGGUUAAAACCCCUUCAGUUACUUACUUUAAUCCAGCGCUGGUGACCUCUCCUCCCUGUCCGACAUCAGCUCCCCUGUCCGACGUCACUGGACCCAAAUGCGAAUGCACGACAAGUGCCGCGCGCGCAUUCAAAGUGCCCAUAGGAAAGCAUUUCUUAAUGCUUUCCUAUGGACGCUCUGCGAGAUGGAGGCAAAAUUCUAAUUCAGUCGUCCGAAGGAAACAAAAGGACAUAGAGCAGAACAGAGAAUGUAUAUUAACCACAUCUAGCAUAUUGGCCUAAUACUAUUAAAGAUAUGAUUAAUUUGGAUAUCCUCAAUAAUAAUAACAAAGUAUUUAACCAGGAAUGGUACAUUCAUAUUUCUCUGGUUUACAAGUACAUCCUUGGGAUGUUACCUUUGCUCAACAUCCAGGGGUUGUUACUAUAACCCAAUGUACUAGUACUCAUUUUAUCUACCUUCGGAAAGAUUAAGGGCUGAAUUGACCUUACUGGAAUUUAAACCUGUGACGCCAAGAGUUGAACAGAUUUGAAUGAUGAUGUAUUGGCCCACUGAGCUUUCUCACCGGCUUUUUUUUUUUUUUUUUGAUGAAUACGUGUUUGAAAGAUUUUGGCUAACCAGGAAACAGCUCCAACAUUUACAUGGGAUGUUAAGGCAUUGCCUAGCACCUAGAGCAGUCUCAGGAAGAUGUGAAUGUGACAUGGUUAAAACACACUACAGCUGAUUUUAUAUCAGUGAUUUAGCACAAUAUCAUACCCAGUCCACAACCUUUAUUAAUGUACAUUUCAUGCUUCUAUACAAACUUUGACUUCUGGUACCCUGUCUAUUAUUGAAUCUAAAAUAUUGUAUAUGGGUAGGUACAUCUUCAGAAAUAAGCAAUAAUUCUUAUUCUGUGAGGUAACCUUUGUGCUAUUGAGAAUUUAACAAUUAACAGCAUUUUUGUUAAAAAAAAAAAGACAAAAAUGCUUGCCCUGACAUAUUUCUUUGAGUCUGGUAAUUUCCAGACCACAUAGGGAGUAGAUAGUAGCAAUUACAAUGACAUCGUCAACAAGCAUUAUAUCCAGUUUCUAUCUGUCAUUUGGUAUGUAAAUAGGCAGCUUGCCCUUUUCCUUUGGGGUUAUCUGCUGUGGGAAAUCCCGUAUGUGUUUGGAGCCAUAGCUUUCAUUAACACCUCCAAGUGGCACUGAACCAAAUAACAGCAAGAGGAAGCACACUCAUUUACUGUGCAAGUAAUGUGUGAUUACAAACAAAAGACGAUUAACACGGUAGUGAGAUUCACAGGGACCUGUCAUGAUAGUUGCAUACUUAGAAAUUCAGAACUGUGGCAGCUUUUUAAGGAAAUUGUAUGCCAACUAUAUAUCUAAUUGUUUGUAUCACACUAAUAUACACUAAUAAUAUGCUUAAAAAAAUACUGAUAAUAUACGGAUACAAAAUUGUAGCACUAGCUAAAUUUACAAUGUGCUAGGUGAGUGGUGUCUCACAAGGUGGCCCCUGUACCUUGUCUGUCUUUAAAUGAGGUGUAGGACAGACAUGAAUUACAGUUUGCCUAACACUCAGUAACAGUGGUUGACAGGCAGGGAAUAUUGGGAUGUCAACUGCGAUCCAGUAAUCCAAUUCCUGUCAACUGGGAUCACACAGAGAGGAGCAAGAAAGAGUCUGUGCACUACUCCCCUGCACCACUCCACUUAUACACAGAAUAUUUCAUAAAUAUUCCUAUUUAGGAGGGACAGUCCCUAUUCUGGGUUCAGAUCCCAGUUAGUUUCUUUCUUUUUUUUUUUCUAUAUGAAUCUUUAUUAAGGGAACAUAUAUUCAGAACAUCAAGUUUGUUCACAGCGAUUACAGAACCACAUAAGUCCACAAUUUCCAAUAUAAUACCACAAGAGAAGGUUGAAGAUGUGGGGGAGGGAAUGAAGAGGAUGGGUCAGAGGGAAAUGGAGGAGUAGUACAUCCACAUCCCAGCAAUCAUGUUAGUCAAUAUGUAAAUUCUGGAUAAUGAGGUACAGCAUAAUGAAAGAUUAAAGUAUUUCAAUAUCUAUUUUAUCAAUUAUAUAUCAAUUGAAAGAACAUAAGGGUGUGUCUCGUGAAGGUUUUGAACCCCUUAGACAUAGCUGUAAACUCCUCUAUGGAGAAAAAAAUGUGCUACAGUAGUUAACCACUCCCGGUGAGUAGGGUUGAUGUUGAUUUCAAAUGAGCAGGAAUGAAUAUUCUAACUGCACUAAGCAGAUGUAAUAGCAGAUAAUUCCUGUAUUUAGAAAUUGCAAUGGGAGUAUAGUGUACUAGUGUAAACAGAGUAGGACCGUUCACAAGCUGUACCAGAGAGACAUAGACUUCUCUCCAGAACAGGACUAUCAAUGGGGAAUACCACCAUAAAUGGGAGUAAUUGCCUGAGUGCAACCUACAUCUGUAACAAAGUCCAUCAACAUCUGGGAACAUAUAUUUCAAUACUGAAACAGUUUUAUACCAUUGUGCCAAUAACUUGUAUGACACCUCUUGAUAUCUUGUGAAUACAGAACAUAAUUGUGUAAGGUUAUAUACUUUAGGCCACUGUUCAUCAGAUCAGUCUGAUAUACAGUUUUUACUCCCGUCUUCUCGGAUGGGAAAGGCAUUACAGGAGAAAGAAGAGACAUGAAGGAGGAGAGCAUAGAUUUUAAAGAUGCUAUGAGAAAGAGUGCCUGGUGAGGAGCAGAAAGAUUCAAAGGGAGAUACUAAAAAGUCUCCAGGAUGGCAAGAGAAUAACUCCCAAAUAGUAAGUCUGAUGCCAUGGUAAUGGGAGGAUGAAAGAUGGGAGGCCUCCUGUUAAUUUAUUAUCAAGUACUUGCAAUAGGUUAAGACUGCCAACAAAGCAACAUGAUGUCAUCUUAGAAUAGAUGGUGUGUCUAUAAGUCAUAGCUUCUGAGAAGUGAGUGAGUCAAAGCAUGCUGGUGGAGAUGAGAGGGGAGCAACGGGAAAUGGAUGAAUCUGAAAAGUGAAGAAGAUUGAAGCUUUUUACAACAGGCCAUAGUUGGUGAAAUUGUGGGUGCAGAGAGUAGGAAACUGUAACCAAAUCAGGUGGGAGCCAUGGCACAGAUGCCCUCCAUUUGUUUUAGAAUUGUAAAAUAUACAAAUGUAAAAAACAAAUCCAGGAAAGAAAAACUAUUUUAAAACUUCCGCUUUUUUUCAAUUUGUGUUCUAUUAGUUUUGUACACAUGGGUAUAUACUUAUAUCAAUAACUGAUAAAUAAAAUAUAAUUAUAUCUCUAGGGGUAUCAGCUGGGGCUGUGGUGGCCUUUUGGAUAUGGAAUGCUGAUAGCAGUGGCGUCACUAGGGUUUGUGCCACCCGGUGUGGUAACUCAGGGUGUCACGCCAACCCCAUCCAUGUUCCUUAAUGUUCCUCUCCCCUCCCUCCCCUGUCCCUUAGUGUUCCUCUCCUCUCCCUCCCCUGUCCCUUAGUGUUCCUCUCCCCUCCCUCCCCUAUCCCUUGGUGUUCCUCUCCCCUCCCUCCCCUAUCCCCUUGGUGUUCCUCUCCUCUCCCUUCCAUGUCCCUUAGUGUCCCUCUUCCUCCUCUGUCCCAUAGUGUUCCUCUUUCCGCCUCCUUACCUGUCUCUUAGUGCCCCCCAUUGCAAUAAAUGUUCCUCUCCCUUCUCUUUUAGUGAUCCCCCUACCUGUGUUGCUUUUCCCUUCCCUCCCCUGUACCUUAGUGCCCCCCUUAAUGUUCUUCUCUCUUUCCCCUGUCCCAUUGUGUUCUUGCCCCUCCCCCCUCCCCUGCCCCAUAGUGUUCUCCCCCCACCCUGCCCCAUGGUGUUCUCCCCCUGCCCUGCCCCAUGGUGUUCUCUCCCCCACCCUGCCCCACUGGUGUUCUCCCCACCCUACCCCAUGGUGUUGUUCCUCCCUACCCUAUCCCAUGGUGUUCUUUCUCCACCCCACACUGUCCAUAGUGUUCUCCCCUUUUUUUGCUUUAAGUUUGCUUUGCAAGUCUCCAGAUCAACUUGCUUUGCAAAUUUGCUGCAAGUCUGCUACAAGUACUUCUUCUUCAAGUUGAAAAUAUUGUGUGCAAUACGUACAUCCCACCACAGAGGUCACUGCUGAAACAUAGAAACAUAGAAACAUAGAAUGAGACAGCAGAGAAGAACCAUUUAGCCCAUCUAGUAUGCCCAAUUUUCAAAAUACUUUUAAUUAGUACCUGGCCUUAUCUUAAAUCUAGGAUAGCCUCAUGCCUAUCCCACGCAUGCUUAAACUCCCUCACUGUCUUAACCUCUACCACGUCAGCUGGAAGGUUAUUCCAUGCGUCCACUACCCUCUCAGUAAAGUAAUACUUCCUGAUAUUAUUUUUAAACCUUUGCCCCUCUAAUUUAACACGAUGUCCUCUUGUUGUGGUAGUUUUUCUUCUUUUAAAUAUAGUCUCCUCCUUUACUGUGUUGAUUCCCUUUAUGUAUUUAAAUGUUUCUAUCAUAUCCCCCCUGUCUCUUUCAUCUCAUUGCUCUCUGCUGUGUGUAAGCUUUACUUUCUAUGGUGCUGGCAGCCAUAUUAUAAUCACUUUGGAGUCGGUCUGGUGAAAGGUUGUGGGAACCAUGAGAUCUGAUAUAGAGUUCAGGGAGGAUAGAAACCAAGUAGUAACUAAACAUAAUAUUACAUUGGUGUAGCACGAGUUAGAAUAUUUUACUUUUCCUCAUUUAUAUGCUGAGAUUUUGCUUAAAGGACCAUUAUAGGCACCCAGACCACUUCAGCUAAAUGAAGUAGUCUGGGUGCCAGGUUCCUCUAGGAUUAACCCUUUCUGCUGUAAACACAGCAGUUUCAGAGAAACUGCUAUGUUUACAAAUGGGUUAAUCCAGCCUCUAGUGGCUGUCUCAUUGACAGCCGCUAGAGGCGCUUCCGCGCUUCUCACUGUGAUUUUCACAGUGAGAAGAUGCCAACGUCCAUAGGAAAGCAUUGAGAAUGCUUUCCUAUGAGACUGGCUGAAUCCACGCGUGGCUCGUGCCGCACAUGUGCAUUCAGCCGAUGAUGGGAAAGGAGGAGAAGAGUCCCCAGCGCAGAGGGAGCCCGGCGCUGGAAGAAAGGUAAGUUAUUAACCCCUUCCUCCCCCUAGAGCCCGGCGGGGGCGGGGGUCCCAGAGGGUGAGGGGGACCCAAGGAUCCUAUAGAGCCAGGAAAGCAAGUAUGUUUUCCUGGCACUAUAGUGGUCCAUUAACUGUAAAGGAGGAGACUAUAUUUAAAAGAAGAAAAACUACCACAACAAGAUGACAUAGUCUUAAAUUAGAGUUGCAAAUGUUUAAAAAUAAUAUCAGGAAGUAUUACUUUACUGAGAGGGUAGUGGAUGCAUGGAAUAGCCUUCCAGCUGAAGUGAUAGAGGUUAACACAGUAAAUGAGUUUAAGCAUGUGUGGGAUAGGCAGAAGGCUAUCCUAACUAUAAGAUAAGGCCAGGGAUUAAUGAAAGUAUUUAGAAAAUUGAGCAGACUAGAUGGGCCAAAUGGUUCUUAUCUGCCGUCACAUUCUAUGUUUCUUUGUUCUAUGUAACAGUGGCUCAAAGGAACAUGCAUACCUUCUGAGAAAACUGCCUCAUUUAGUAGCUAUAUAACUGAUAAAGCAGUCAUCUUUUCUUACUAAAAUAAAUUCAUAAAGAAAAUGUUUGUUUUAAAACGUUCACUCUUAUUAGCUUUAUGUAUAUAUAUCACAAACCUUUGGUUUUUAAAAUUUCUAAUUUAAUGACAUUCAUAUCUGAAAUAGCUCAUUAAAACAAAUCACAGUGUUUCACCCCAUUAACAUAGUCUAGAUUCUAGAAUAAAGAAUAAAAGUAGGAUGCAGAAAGUAGUAUUGUAACAUUUAUCUGUUAACGGAAAACUAUAGUGCCAGGAAAACACAGGUCCUUCACCUCAGCUGAAUCAAAAAUCAAUACGGCUGGAGGGGCAGAGCCUGACUACCAACAUGGAAGGAUGCAAUUCAAUCAGUUGGGGUUGCCCUGUAUUUAAAAUACAUGCCUGCCACUCUGGGGGCAUUAUCCUCUUCCAUGACAUGGCAUGGAAGGGGCUAACCUGCAGGUUUCAUUUAUUUAUCCAGUUUAUGCUAUUUCAUCCAAUUCUUAAACACAUUUUUAAUAAAGGCAAGGGUACAUGCUAUAUAGCAUUACUUUGAUAAUUUAUUUCAUUUAUUUUUAGUUUACAUGAUCUUAUUUUGUUUUCCGUAAGAGUAAGUUAUAAUCUUUUCUGUGAAAGUUGGAUAUGGCAGAAGCAAAGAAAUUUGCAAUCAUCACAUUUUGUUCAUCACAUUUUGUCACGGCACACCAGGAGAGGCUGAUGGGCUGCAUUCACUUACCACGCGCCACAUGGAAUUUGGCGUCCUGGGAGUGCAAGAUGCGCAAAGCCCUCCUUCCAGCCACUGGCUUAUACCGCAAGUACUUCAGUAGUGUGCCAUGAGUGCAAUGUGCAUCACACUGCACUCUCCUCGCCCACCAGCCCCUGCAACUUCAUGUGGGCUGCUACAUGCAGGGGAAGGCAGACACACCUUGUCUGCCCUUAUGCCUAUAUCUCCUCCUGUGGGCAUGUUGGGUGAUGUGUUGUGUGUUACCCAUGCUGCUCCAGGAUACCCUUAGAUUGACAAAGCCUUGGGGAGUCCAGUUUAGCAAGCAUGGAAGCAGCAUGGUUUUGCAAGUUAAAUGAAUAAACUAGCAUAGCAUUCCACCCACCAAAUGAGGGAGCGUUUUAUUAAGGUUGCCAUGAGUCCUCAGAACAAAGCAUACACAUGGGCAAACUGCAAAGUGCAUGUUAUGCACUUGUAUUGUGAGUAUCUUCUCUUCUGUAUAGUAGUAACUAAACCUGUUAGUCCUUUUCUUCUAUUUUGUUAUUUGUCCUAAAGAAAGAAGUAUACUUAUAUUGUGUGUGUUUAAAAUGUAUUUUCUUUGUGUAUUUCCAGCUACCUUUGCUUUGGCCAGAAAGAAUCUUAAAAAAGAAGAGGAAACCUCAGAAGUGGACACUGAACAUGACCUUAGUGAGGAAAGACCAAAAAGGAAAAUCAAGAAGCAGAAAAAGAAAUAGACAAGAAGAAUAGUAAGAAGGCGUCUAUCAGUUGUGUUGAAGUAGAAUAUUGAGGUAGUUUGCCUAAUUUGAAUGCUGAAUCAAAGGAGGAAAACAUAGUUUAGAGGUGUCAGGGAUCCGCUCUGCUUAAUUGUCGGCGAGCGGCGUCUCCUCUGUGCUGCUCGCCGCCCGCGUCCUCCACGCCCCCCAGCGGCAGCAUGUAUAACGCUGCACGCUGGGAGGUCAAUGAAUUAAGUAAACGCCGGGGUCACGUGAGUGACCCGGCGUUAAAGAAACAGUACCACAAUCACAGUGGGGGGUAUAGAUAUCCCCCACGUGUGAUUGUUAAUUCUGAUUGGAAGUUAUCCAAUCAGAAUUAAACCAAGGGUAUUUAUACUUACCUUUCCUGUCCCUCAGUGCCCUGUUGUGGUCUUGUUAUACCAGUAGCGUAGUGUUCUCGUCUUGCUCUCUGGUUACUGAUUAUUUGGCUUGUUAUUCCGUUUAUCCUGUCUUCUCCACUCCUGUGACCUCGGCUUGUUUCUCGUUCUCCCAUUUUCUGGCUCCCUUUACUUGGCUUGUCUCCUGACUAAUCUUAGCGUGCUUAGCCCGGCCACUCUAACCCUUUUCAGUGUGUGUGUGUGCCAGCGUGUUGGGUUCCCCGAAUCGUGACAAGAGGACACCUCUUGACAUGGUCAGAUGGAAAGUGCUCAUUAAUUACAACAGGGCAUUUAAUGUCUGAGUCUUACUGAGUCCCUUCUUUUUUCAUUCUAGCUCCAGCAAGAGAGAAUAGAAAAUGGGCAGCUGUUCUGCAGGAGAUGGCAAACAUAUCUGGGGGAAUUAAAAAAAAAUAGAGGAAAGAUUGGAAGCACAAAGAAAGGUACCUAUAGCAGAAGAUGACACAUCCAUUUUAGUUUUCUGGUCCUGAAGUCUUUGGACGACUGAAAAAUUGGAAGAUGCUUUGAAAACAAACUGGUAAGCUAUUAAUUUCAGGUUUAUCCCUUUAGUUUGCCUACAGCUGGACUUAAUGUGCACAUUGAACACAAUAAUUGAUCCAAUUGUGGAAUCAUUUACAGUGAAAAAGUUGAGUACUUCUUUGUAAUAACAAUACUAGGUUCUUUACACAAUGAUAAAGUGAUGUGCCUUUGCAAAAUAUCUCCUUAAUGCCAGACAUGUAUAUAUAUAUAUAUGUUAUUACAUUCAUUUUCUUAUUUUGCAGAUAAGAGUGUUGGAGGGAAGAAUGUGCAUUUACUUUUUUGUAAUAUGAUGCAACUAUUAAUGGAGGAUAAUGUUGGCGAAGUCUAUAAUUGUCCCGGAACCUCUGCUAAGCAUGCUGACAGAAGGGCUUUUGCAGGUACCGAGAUAUGCAAUUCACUUCUUGGUGAGUCAAACUUUGUGUUUAUAAUCUUUAACAGUUCCUGGGUUUUUAGCUAAAGUGAAAUUUGUGGCACAGUACAAAACACAUGUAUAUAUAAAACCUUAUGAUUUGUAUGAUUUAUUUGAAUAUGUCAAUGAUGUGUACUAUAAUUAAGAUGAGCAGUUAUUUUAGUGCAACAUUACGUUGAGGUGUUUUCAGAUUCUUAAUUGGUUGAUAUAUUUUUUUAGUCUUAAAGACAGAUUUUUUUAAGAAUGUAAAAGACUUAUGAAAUACAGUUCUUAUUUGUUGACAUUUGGAAUAUUGGUAUUUAAUUAUGGAUUGAAUAUAUUUCUAAACUGAGAAGCUAUCUCUAAAGGCACAUUUUUCAUUACAUGUGGUUAUCUGUCUGUCUAUCAUAUACUUGAUUAUUUAUUGUUUUUUUUUGUUCUUGCGGAAGCAUUUCGAACAGUCUAUAAAUACGCUACAGACUGUGAAAUUAGAAAAUAUAUUGGCGAUUGGCUUAAUCAAGCCCACACAUGAAUUGUUCAUAGUUCCAGGUGAGUAGUAAUUGUUUUUCGUUAUUGGUUUAAUUACGACUACGGAGCCACCUUUUUUCAAUUUACUUUAUCCUGUUUUUAUAGCCUUAUUUAUAAGGUGCUUAGCGUUAAAUACUGCUAGUGCCUAAAUUAUUUCUCUAUAACGCAUCCUACAGCUUUCCAUUAGAAGCAUUAACUACGGCAUUGCUAAAGAAAUGGGCGCACAUGGUAAACUUAAUGUAUCUGUGACUGUUGGAUCCUGGCUGCUCUGUACAAGCAUGGCACAGUUCAGACCUUCAAUCGGCCUUGAGAUUCUUUGUCUCUCAGCCUAUACCUUUUCACUAUGAGAGGGGUUCUUUUCUGCAGAUGCACAAUAUUUUAGUAAUGCUGUGGCUUGGAAUACCCACAAGCAGUCAAGAGGAUACACCACUGGCUGCUGUUCUGGCACUAUCAGGUUUUUCCCUUCUUAUAGGUCAGGGUAGCAACACUUGUGCCACCACAGUGGGAACCUAGUUUUCGAGAACAAGGAAAUUAGCCUCACACAGGACAACCUCCUGGCAAUCUGGACACAGCACUAAGGACACUUCAUUCUGGUCACACACAGCUUAAAUACACUUGGUCACAGGCACUGACAUUAUGCAGAUACAAGUUAUGCAGUGAUUGGUACACAUCAUGCAUAAUAGGAGUGUAUAAAUAUAUGUAGCGGAAUGGGCUUUGCUACUAUCCACCUUUUAUACUAGAGGCUGUCCAUAACCCUUUUUGUUGCUUUAUUUUAUUGGGAAUGCAACUGUUCGUUACUUGUAAAAACACGUCACAAGUUAUUAUCUUAUAUCAUUCGUCUGGUUGUUCGGUAAUACCCCUCUGUUCAGCUAUUUCCACUAUAUAGUUCGCAUACGAACUAAAUACUGAAAAACCAGGCCACCCAUGCGAGGAGCGUGGCACCAAUUAACCUCCCCAACCUGGUUCAUACUCUCUGAUUGCCAACACACGAACAAACUGGGUGUUCUCUGAGGUGGCCGCCAUUCAUCAUACGAACACGUGGUGGCGGCCAUCUUAGCAUAUGAAUUAUACCACGAACUACCAGAGACUUCCAUCCUUGUGUAAGUUCGUGGGAACUCAAGGGAACAGAGUGACAUUCGGUAGAAAGUAUUACACGAACAAGAGGAAUUUCACAAACUAAGAGACGAACCAUAAUUUUAUGUAUUUUCAUGCAUUUCAACUUCCCGAACAGAAACCGACCGCACAGCCAAAGACCUCCAUAAAACUCUUGAACCCCUGAACCGAUUUGGGUGAUUUUCAGUAUGUUUCCCCCUCCCAGAUCGGGGCUAUCAGAGGAUGGGGUAUUUCCAGAAAAUAUGAAAAUUGUGAUUUUUCUGUUUGGAGAUAAUUGAGUUGAUACAGUAAUUAACUCAAUUAUCUCCUGAGCAGAGGUGAGGGAUUGAGUGUAAUGUGACUUAUUACUUGCCUCUGUCUGUAUUAUUUGUUUUAGAUUUUUACCUGGGUGGUAAUCUUUGGGGCAAAACCUGCAAAAAAAGGCCAGCCUGACCAUUAGAGGAUCAGUUCUGCUCCUAAUAUUGAGUGUCGUCCAGUUAUUGGGAUGGGUGAUGGGAUAUUCGUGUAUCAUCUUGUAUUUAUGCCUGCUGUCCUGAAGUAUCCUGUUAGUUCCUGAGUAGCUGUUGGAGUAACCAGCGGAGAAUACCACUGCUCUCUCUGCUACAAUAUAUAUAUAUACACACAUAUAUAUAUAUAUAUAUAUAUAUAUAUACACACACACACACACACCUAUUGUGCAUGAUGUGUACCAAUCACUGUAACUUGCAUGUGUAUAUAUAUAUAGAGAGAGAGAGAGAGAGAGAGAGAGAGAGAGAGAGAGAGAGAGAGAGAAAUGAGUACACACACAACUUUGAACAUAGAUCUAUACAUUUAUACAGAUUCUGAAGACUAAUGAUAACAUAUCGUAGGCAACAGUACAAUGUAUCCUGAGACCAGACAGCCUGCUCUCUGUAUAAUAACACACACACCAAUAACAACACAUAAUAUGAAACAGUGCAAUGCCCCUUCAGAACACAGCAUCUGAAUAUACAUUAUUCCUGCAUACACAGACACACACACUGAUCUGUGUACCGUACAGGCAGUGGUGUAUCCUGGUUUUGUGCUGCCCUAGGCAUGACAAAACUCAUGCACCCCCGCCCCGCCUUCUAAAUACACAUACACACUCACUGAAAGACACAUGUACACUCAGUGUCAGACACACACAUUCACUGACAGACACACAUACACUCGUUAACAGACAUACACACUCACUAACAGACACACACACACUCACUAACAGACACAUACAGUCACUAGCACACACACACAUUCACUAACAGACACGCAUACACUCUCACUAACAGACAUGCAUACACACUAACAGACACGCACAAACUAACAGACACACACAUAGUACCACACUCCCUAACACACACACACACACACACUCACUAACAGACACACACUAGCAGACACAUACACUCACUGACACCCACACACUCACUAACAGACACACACACACACACAACAGAUACACACACAACAGACACACAUACUAACUAACACACACACACACACUCACUAACAGACACCCACACACUCACUAACAGACACACACACACUCACUAACAGACACACACACACAGUAACAGACACACACACACACACACACAUUAACACACUCACAUUUUUUUUUAAAUUCAAUCCCCCCAGCCUCCUAACCUUUGGGAGUGCUGGGGUCCUGGGUGGCCGGCCGAUGACUGCAGUCGGCGAGGGAGCACUGAUCCUCCGGUUCAGCUCCCUUGCGCGCCGCGUACUGACGUCAUAUUCCAGCUCCAGCAUCACUGUGGUGUGCAUGAGGGAGCUGAACAGGAGGAUCAAUUAUAGAGAGUUCAAUUAUACAAAUUUUAAAUAAUGAUAUAAAUAGAUAAAAUUAAGCUUAUAUUUAUUAGUAUCUCCAACAAAUGCAAUACACACACACACAAGACUGCUGAAUACAGAGACUGCUGAAUACACACACACAGUCUGCUGAGUACACACACACACACAGACUGCUGAGUACACACACACAGACUGCUGAGUACACACACACACACAGACUGCUGAGUACACACACACAGACUGCUGAGUACACACACACAGUCCGCUGAGUACACGCAAACACACACAGACUGCUGAAUACACGCACACACACACACACACACAGACUGCUGAAUACACGCACACACACACACUGCUGAAUACACACAUACUGCAUUGAGGUGGGGGGUGCUGUGUGUGUGAGGGGGUGCGUGUGUGUGUGUUGUGUGUGUGGGGUGCUGUGUGUGUGUGUGGGGUGCUGUGUGUGUAUGGGGGCUGCUGUGUGUGUGGGGGGGUGCUGUGUGUGCGUGCUGUGUGUGUGUAAGGGAAGUACUGUGUGUGUGGGGAGUACUGUGUUUGUGUAAGAGAGUGCUAUUAUUAAUGGGGGGUACUGUGUGUGUGUUGUAUGUGUAUAGAGGUGCUGAGGGGGGUAGGGGAGUACUACUGGGGGUAGGGGUACAAUGUGUGGGGGUAGGGUUACUACUUUGUGGGGGUGGGGAGUUUAGGGGAAUUUUUGCUGUAGGGGGUAGGGGUACUGUGUGUGUGGGGGUAGGGUACUGUGUGUGGGGGUAGGGGGUACUGUGUGUGGGGGUAGGGGUACUGCUGUGGGGGUAGGGGUACUGUGUGUGUAGGGGUAGGGGUACUGUGUGUGUGUGGGGGUGGGAAUGCGGCUGGGGGAAGGGGUACUUCUGGGGGGUAGGGGUACUGCUGGGGGUGGGGUACUGCUGGGAGGGUAGGAGGUGUGAGGGAGGCGGGGUGUGUGGGGGUGGGGUACUGCUUGGGAGGCCCCAGGGGUACUGCUGGGAGGGGUAGAGGGGUACUGCUGGGAGGGUGGGGGUACUGUGUGGGGGUGUACUGUGUGUGUGGGGGGGGUCUGGGGGGAACUGCUGGGGGAGUAGGGGUACUGCUGUGGGGGGUAGGAAUUUGCUGCUGAGGUAUGGGUACUGCUGGUGGGGGUGGGGGUACUCUGUGGGGGUGGGGGUACUGCUGGGGGUGGGGUACUGCUGUGGCGGGUGGGGUACUGCUGGGGAUAGGGGGGUACUGCUAGGGAGGGAUAGGGGGUGCUGCUGGUGGGGGUGGGGGUACUGCUGCUGUGGGGUGGGGGUACUGCUGGGGGUGGGGUGCUGCUGUGGGGUGGGGGUACUGCUGUGGGGUGGGGGGUGCUGCUGGAGUUGGAGUAGCCCUGGGGUGGGGUGCACUUCUAGGUGGGGGUACUGCUGGAGGUGGGGUGUGCUGCUGGGGGUGGGGGUGCUGCUGUAGGGGGGGUAGGGGUCCUGGGGGUAGGGGUACUUCUGGGAGGGUAAGGGUACUUCUGGGGGGUAGAGGUACUGCUGGGUAGGGUAGGGGUACUGCUGGGGGGGCGGUAGGGGUACUGUGUGUCAGUAAGCCAUCCCUGGUGGUCCAGUGGUGGUAAUCUCUGCAGGGGGAGGGAUCUGUGAUGCAGCUCCCCUGUCCUCCUGCGCAAUGCUAUGUGGAGCGUUGCCAUGGUAACGCGCGGCACCGCUCCACACAGCAUCGCGCGGGAGGACAGGGGAGCUGCAUCACAGAUCCCUCCCCCUGCCUCCCGACCCGGAAGCAGAGUAGGCGCCUGCCGUUUCGGGCAGGCAGGUGCCUACUCUGCAUUGAUGGCGAAUCUGUGGCCGCGUGCCCACAGAAAGGGCCCGGCGUGCCACCUGUGGCACGCGUGCCAUAGGUUCGCCAUCACUGCCCUAGAGGCUAGUUGCAAUUCUUCCCAUGACAACAGGGCAGCUGGAUGCCACAAACAAUCUACUAUUAUAACUAACAUAACUGGCCUAGUGCGCUUGGCUCUUAGACCAUGCACGCGGCAGAUGUAAAGCUCUGGUAGAUUUCAGGAGAAUCUCGUACCACCCGCCGGGUGCAUGAGAGCAAAAUGGCGUGCAGCCUCAGUCGGUUGCCCACAAAGGCUAGUGCCAAGACUCCCAGCAGGUUGCCACAGGCUGGCAGAACACAGUCCAUUUAGAAAGAGCUAGGCAAGGGGAAAAUAAACCAAGUGGCAAACAGGCCAUUUGUCAAAUGUACUAUACUUAUGAGACGAGAUAAGACAUUUAUUUCUCACAGUACCACCAAGGAGCAUUAUCAUUACUACACACAGUGAUACCUUUUAUUUAGUGCAACCUGGUUUUAAACUAAUCCUGCUACCAGAGGUGUAACUAGAAACCACGGGGCCCGGUGCAAAUAUUGCCCUAGGACCCACCCCAUAGUCUAUCCCCCACUCCAUAUAUCCCUGCCCCAUAUAUUUACCCCCACCCCAUACAUCCCGCCCCAUACCUCUAACCUCCACACGUCCGUGCUCCCCACACAUGAAGCCAAACAUAUACACACACAGACACACACAUACACAUACAUACAAACACACACACAAACAGAGACCCAUACAUACAGACACACACAUAGAGGCACAUACAUACACACAUACAAACACACACAUACACACACGUAGACACAUAUACAGACACACAUACAGACACACAUACAGACACACACACACAGUCAUACACCCAGAUAUACUGAUACAGACAUUCUCUAUCACACACACAAACUGGGGUCCAUGCUGAUGAGAGUCAGAGCUCACACUCUGACUCCCUCCUCUCCUCCCAUGCGGCGCUCUGUUGGUUGGGAGGAAGUAAAGGCUUCCUCCCAGCUCUGACAUCAUCACUGGGGCCCCAGUGCGCUGACAGGGCCACAGGAAAUCCAUUGCCAUCGGGUGGCCCCAAAGGCAUGGGCCACCCGAUGGGCUCCUUCAAUGUGGCCCCUGUGGUUUUUCCGCGCGUUCGGGGCCUCACCAAAACACUGGCGGGAACUUUGGUCACAGGGGUUGACAGGGCGGCUGGGCCCCCUGGAAUGAUGGUCCCGGUCGCAGCUGCGACCGCGGUAGUUCCACCAGUGCCUGCUACAUAGUCUCAUAGGUAUAAUGGGAACUGCGUAGAGGUGUAUAUAUGUAGCUAUAUUUAGCUAAAUAUCACUAAUUAAUCAUUUCGAAACAAGCUAAAUACAACUAGCAGUCAGAGCUCAGUGUUAUAAUAAAGGAGAAUUACCGCAUAUGCAAUAAAUACUGCGCAUGGCAAUAAUGCAACCCUGGUGUAACGCUUUCAAUGUGAAUCUGUGGUUACAAUCGCUCCAUGGCGAUUGAACUGUAUGUAUGUGAUCUGAGCGCCAUUCGGUAGUAAUGUGCGCUGAGAUCUAAGCUAUCUGGGGAUAUGUAGAAUGUCUAUGUUUUAUGAAAUAAAUGUAACUGUAAUUUUAUGUAUUUUACUGUAUUGUUACUGCCAUGUGGUUAAUGGAGUUUUGCCAUUGUCCUGGAUGAUAAUUGGAUUACUUCCCAAUUAUCUCCAGGACAGAGAGGAGGGAUUGUGAUGUAAUUGUGGGAGUGUUUAAAGGUGUAUGUAAGUGAUUGGCUAAGAGCCAAUAUGUUUCCCAGUUUCCCAUUUGGUCCCCUAGGGGAGUGUACACCAGGUGGGAGACCUGCUUAAAAGCCGGGCAGUUAGCCCCAGUAAACCAGAUUCUGCUUAACCCUCAAAACGAAGUGUCGUCUCGUUAUUGGGGGAAUUGGAUUGUAUGCUGACUGCCAGGAGUGUAAACCUUUCCUGCUCGGCUGUUUCCAGUAUUCGUGUGUUUCCUGUUCGGGAGUUGGUGAAUUUGUGUAGUUUGCAGUUCGGGAGAUUGGUGCUUGCAGCAGUUGCCUGUUCAUCUGAAAGGGGAAUAUUGCCUAAACGUUUUUUAAUCUCUUGUAGGCAAAACGGUCCGUUACAAUAUUAUUAUUUUUUUGUAUUGAAAAAUGUAAUUAUCCUUUGACUGUAUACCGUUAUAGUUGUAUGUUAAGUACAGGGCCAGAUUGAGAGCCCAGUGGGCCUGGUGCUGACAAUUAUGAUGGGCCCUAAUUACAGAAUCGUAUCGACCAAAAACACUAAAGCACUCCCAAGUGUCAUGUAUCUGAUGGAGAUGGUGCUGGAGGGAAAGAAAACAGCAGAUAUAAGACAAUACAUACCCUCUCUCUAAUUUAUGUUUUCAUAUUUCAAGUAAAUCCAUAACUCCUAACAGCAGUGUCCAGUGAAGCAGGAAGUCAAUGGACACAGUAAAAGGGUAUGUCACUGACUCAAAUCACGUAACUUGUCAAAAGCAGCGAACAUGCCCAAAAAGGGGGCAUGUCUGCCCAAAGAAUUGGAAGGCCAGCCUGGCAUGAAUGAAUGUCAGGCUGCCUGUCAAUCAUGCAAGCUGGUCAACUAAGGGCAUACUAUGCAGACAUCACCCUGAGCUUGGCAUAAAUGUGUCUAAUGCUGUGCUCGCUCAAUGCUUUCUAAGGACAGUCCCCUAGCACUCGCUGGUCCACUUGUCUCCUUACCUUCUUACUAUCAGGCAGAAGCUCUGUCUGGGACAGAGAAAAGCUGUAUGUAGUGAGUGUAGAAGAAAGGGAACAUGCCACAGUAUUAGAGAGACCAAAGUCAGCAUUUAGUGAUGUCGCGAACCCGAAAUUUUCGGUUCACGAACGGCGAACGCGAACUUCCGCAAAUGUUUGCGAACUGGCGAACCGGGCGAACCGCCAUAGACUUCAAUGGGCAGGCGAAUUUUAAAACACACAGGGACUCUUUCUGGCCACAAUAGUGAAGGAAAAGUAGUUUCAAGGGGACUAACACCUGGACUGUGGCAUGCCGAAGGGGGAUCCAUGGCAAAACUCUCAUGGAAAAUUACACAGUUGAUGCAGAGUCUGGUUUUAAUCCAUAAAGGGCAGAAAUCACCUAACAUUCCUAAAUCACAAUGAAUAUGGAUUGACGCCUGUCAUAUGACAUAUUGACACCUUGACAUAUGGAUUGACACCUGUCCUCAGAGCCCCUGAUGCACACGGACACAGAGCAGAAUAGGGACUGUUCCCCCUACCUAGGGUCACUUGGCAGAUAUGGAUUGACACCUAUCCUAAGGAUCCCUGAUACACACUGACAAAGAGCAGAAUAGAGACUGUUCCCCCUACAUAGGGUCACUUGGCUGGUAUGGAUUGACACCUGUCCUCAGAGACCAUGAUACUGACUGACACAGAGCAGAAUAGAGACUGUUCCCCCUACAUAGGGUCCUAAGGAUCCCUGAUACACACUGACACAGAGCAGAAUAGGGAAUGUUCCUCCUACAUAGGGUCACUUGGCAGAUAUGGAUUGACACCUGUCCUCAGAGACCAUGAUACACACUGACACAGAGCAGAAUAGAGACUGUUCCCCCUACAUAGGGUCACUUGGCAGAUAUGGAUUGACACCUGUCCUCAGAGACCAUGAUACACACUGACACAGAGCAGAAUAGAGAAUGUUCCCCCUACAUCGGGUCACUUGGCAGAUAUGGAUUGACGCCUGUCCUCAAAGCCCCUGAUAAACACUGACACAGAGCAGAAUAGAGACUGUUCCCCCUACAUAGUGUCACUCCGCAGAUAUGGAUUGACACCUGUCCUCAAAGCCCCUGAUAAACACUGACACAGAGCAGAAUAGGGACUGUUCCUCCUACAUAGGGUCACUUGGCAGAUAUGGAUUGACACCUGUCCUAAGGAUCACUGAUACACACUGACACAGAGCAGAAUAGGGACUGUUCCCCCUACAUCGGGUCACUUGGCAGAUAUGGAUUGACACCUGUCCUAGGGAUCCCUGAUACACACUGACACAGAGCAGAAUAGGGACUGUUCCUCCUACAUAUGGUCACUUGGCAGAUAUGGAUUGACAUCUGUCCUCAGAGAUCAUGAUACACUGACACAGAGCAGAAUAGAGACUGUUCCUCCUACAUAGGGUCCCUUGGCAGAUAUGGAUUGACACCUGUCCUCAGAGACCAUGAUACACACUGACACAGAGCAGAAUAGAGACUGUUCUCCUACAUAGGGUCACUUGGCAGAUAUGGAUUGACACCUGUCCUCAGAGACCAUGAUACACACACUGACACAGAGCAGAAUAGAGACCAUUUCCCCUACAUAGGGUCACUUAGCAGAUAUGGAUUGACACCUGUCCCUGGAUCUGAUACACACUGACACAGAGCAGAAUAGGGACUGUUCCUCCUACAUGGGGUCCCUUAGCGAAUAUGGAUUGACACCUGUCCUCAGAGCCCCUGAUACACACUGACACAGAGCAGAAUAGGGACUGUUACCCCUACAUAGGGUCACUUGGCAGAUAUAGGCGUGAGGUGGGUGGGAGGGAAGGGAGGAUUACUUUCACCUCUUCCCUGUUAGAUUCCCGUUGUGCUGUGACAUCACCCUUAUACGCUGUGUAAAACAUACUUUUUAAUUGAUUUUGGAACUGCUGCAUCCUUUCUGACUUGCGGUAAUUCGGUAACAUUUCAGGCACUUUCUGCUUAUACCGGGGGUCUAGUAGCGUGGACACCCAGUACAGGUCGUUCUCCUUCAGCCUUUUUAUACGAGGGUCCCUCAACAGGCACGACAGCAUGAAAGACCCUAUUUGCACAAGGUUGGAUGCCGAGCUACUCAUUUCCAGUUCCUCCUCCUCACACAGAGCAGAAUAGGGACUGUUCCUCCUACAUAGGGUCACUUGGCAGAUAUGGAUUGACACCUGUCCUCAGAGACCAUGAUACACACUGACACAGAGCAGAAUAGAGACUGUUCCCCCUACAUAGGGUCACUUGGCAGAUAUGGAUGACACCUGUCCUCAGAGACCAUGAUACACACUGACACAGAGCAGAAUAGAGACUGUUCCCCUACAUAGGGUCACUUGGCAGAUAUGGAUUGACACCUGUCCUCAGAGACCAUGAUACACACUGACACAGAGCAGAAUAGAGACUGUGGGCCUGACACAGACGCUGGCAGACAACUAACUUUGCUAUUCAAUCUAUAACAGUGAAAAAAGUUUUGUUUUUAAAUGCAAGCUAUUGUGACACCAGAUAUGAGUGGCACUGUAAACCUGGCAGAGUACGUAGCCAGAAUGGCCUUUACCAGCUGGGAGACAACUAACUUGCUAUUCAAUCUAUAACAGUGAGUUUUUUGGUUUUAAAUACGCUAUUGUGACACUAGUGAGUGAGUUGUGGCACUGGGCACAGUAUCCACUGUGAGCUUGACACACCCCUUUUGAGACAACUAACUGAUAUUCAAUCUAUAACAGUGAAAAAAGUUUUUUGGUUUUAAAUGCAAGCUAUUGUGACACCAGUGAGUGAGUGGUGGCACUGGGCACAGUAUCCACUGUGAGCCUGACACAAACGCUUUGAGACAACUAACUGCUAUUCAAUCUAUAACAGUGAAAAAAGUUUUUUGGUUUUAAAUGCACGCUAUUGUGACACCAGAUAUGAGUGGCAAAGUACACUGGCAGAGGUCUGCAGAGCACACGCUGAAGGCCUGACACCCGCUUUAAGGACACUGACUGCUAUUCUGAAGAAGCCUCUACAGGUGAAACGCGUAAAGUGGAUUUUUUAUGGACUUUCUCAUUGAGUGUAUCUCAUUUGUUUUUAUUACUUUCUAUGUACAAUAAAUAGUUACCAUUUUAUAUAUUUUUAUCACUCUGAGACAUCCAUUAUUAUAUACCUUUUUUUUCCUGGUUACCAUUUUAUUCCUUGGUGGGGAUUAUACCACCUAUACGCUGUAAACUAGAGCGAGGCACGCUCUAGUAAAUGUGAGUACGAUACUUUACAUUUUAUUCCUUAUUUUAAGUGAUUUUAAUACAUACUACACUAUGUGGAUUCCCUUGUCUAUCUGUAUGUUCUUUAUUUGAGACCUUCAAGACGUGGACCACUCUACAUUUAUCCUAAGACGGGGAUUGUUCCGUCCAUGCGCAUGAACAGCAGAGCUCUGUUUCUAGCUCUGUUAUAUGUGAGUGUACAUCUAUUUACUCUUUGUUCACUUACGGAAUACCAUCAGUGCUACACUAUUAUUUGUAUAUCUCUUUUUUCUUUUUGAGGUACAUCAUUGCAAGUGUAUGGCCAUAAGGACUUGAGUACGUAUUUACGUAUCACAAUAAGGGCGCGGUUUCCUUUUUUCUUUGUUUACUGACUGCUAUUAGCUUACACUGAAAAACUUUUUUUCUUUGUAAAAGCACGCUAUAGAGACACCAGAUAUGAGUGGCAAAGUACACGGGCAGAGGUCUGCAGAGCACACGCUGAAGGAGGCCUGACACCCGCUUUAAAGACACUGACUGCUAUUAGCUUACAGUGAAAAACUUUUUUUCUUUGUAAAAGCAAGCUAUUGUGACACCAGAUAUGAGUGGCACUGUAAACUGGCAGAGUACACGCUGUAGGGCUGACGCACCCGCUUUGAGACAACUAACUGCUAUUCAAUCUAUAACAGUGAAAAAAGUUUUUUGGUUUUUAAAUGCACGCUAUUGUGACACCAGUGAGUGAGUGGUGGCACUGGGCACAUUAUCCACUGUGAGCCUGACACAGACGCUGGCAGACAACUAACUGCUAUUCAAUCUAUAACAGUGAAAAAAGUUUUUUGGUUUUAAAUGCAAGCUAUUGUGACACCAGUGAGUGAGUGGUGGCACUGGGCACAGUAUCCACUGUGAGCCUGACACACCCGCUUUGAGACAACUAACUGCUAUUCAAUCUAUAACAGUGAAAAAAGUUUUUUGGUUUUAAAUGCACGCUAUUGUGACACCAGAUAUGAGUGGCAAAGUACACUGGCAGAGGUCUGCAGAGCACACGCUGAAGGCCUGACACCUGCUUUAAGGACACUGACUGCUAUUAGCUUACACUGAAAAACUUUUUUUCUUUGUAAAAGCACGCUAUAGAGACACCAGAUAUGAGUGGCAAAGUACAUGGGCAGAGGUCUGCAGAGCACACGCUGAAGGAGGCCUGACACCCGCUUUAAGGACACUGACUGCUAUUAGCUUACACUGAAAAACUAAAAGCUAUAGAGACACCAGAUAUGAGUGGCAAAGUACUCUGCAGAGCACAUGCUGAAGGAGGCCUGACACCCGCUUCACUGACUGCUAUUAGCUUACACUGAAGUAAAAGCACGCUAUAGAGACACCAGAUAUGAGUGGCAAAGUACACAGGCAGAGGUCUGCAGAGCACACGCUGAAGGAGGCCUGACACCCAGACGCUUGCAGACAACUAACUGCUAUUCAAUCUAUUACAGUGAAAAAAUUUUUUUUCUUUUUAAAUGUCAAGCUUAAGCUAUUGUGACACCAGAUAUGAGUCGUGGCACUGGGCAAAUGGGCACAGUAUCCACUGUGAGCCUGACACAGAAGCUGGCACGCAACUAACUGCUAUUCAAUCUAUUACAGUGAGAAUUUUUUUUUAUUUUUAAAUGUCAAGCAUAAGCUAUUGUGACACCAGAAAUGAGUGGUGGCACUGACUGGGCAAAUGGGCACAGUAUCCACUGUGAGCCUGACACAGAAGCUGGCAGGCAGGCAACUGCAAUUACAUUACACAGAAAAAAAAGCAGACUGAUGUUCUAGCCCUAAAAAGGGCUUUUUGGGGUGCUGUCCUUACAGCAGAGAUCAGAUGAGUCCUUCAGGACUGUAGUGGACACUGAAUACCCUAGCCUAGCUAUCAAUUUCCCUAUCUAAUGAGCAGCAGCUACACUUUCCCUCCUCUCACUAAGCAUGCAGCUUCAGAAUGAAUCUAAAAUGGAUGCUGGGAGGGAGGUGGGAGGGUCUGGAAGGGAGGGUCUGCUGCUAAUUUGCUGGAAUGUGUCUGCUGACCAUGAGGCACAGGGUCAAAGUUUGCUCAAUGAUGACGAAUAGGGGGCGGAUGGAACCGCGCAUGUGUUCGCCUGUGGUGGCGAACGCGAACACGCUAUGUUUCCUGGGAACUAUUCGCCGGCGAACAGUUCGUUACAUCACUAUCAGCAUUACCAUAACUAAAUUUAAUUUCAGCUAGUCCACACAAGUUUUGUUCCCAUAAAUCCCUCUUAAGUUUCCAUACUUAAGCAAGAGUAUGUGAAAAGUAGUUAGGGUUGCCACCCUUCUUGGAAAAACAUAGUGGCCUUACUAUUUUGCAUAAUUAAUUAUGUAUGGGUGACAUCACAAGGAGUGACAUGAGAGUAAAUGCUGUAAAAUCACCAAAAAAACUACUUACAGUUUGAUUCUGCUGUAUAGAUGGAUUGCUCCCAGUGUCUCCCUGUUCGACGGUGUCUCAAGUCUCCCACUGUCUCAGUGUCCCUAUGUAUCAGUUUCCCCAUGUCUCCCAGUGUCCCCAUGUCGCCCAGUGUCUCAGUGUCCCCUAGUCUCCCUGUGCCUCCAUGUCUCCCAGUGCCCUCAUGACUCAGUGUCCCCAUGUGUCGAUUACCCCAGGUCUCACAGUGUCCGUAUGUAUCACAGUGUCUCAGUGCCCCAUGCCCCCUAAUCUCCCAGUGUCUCAAUACCCCAUGUCUCCCAGUGUCCCAAUGUCUCCCUGUCCCCCCUAGUAUUCCCAUGUCUCUCAGUGUCCCCUAGUGUCUAUGUCCCCAAGUGUCCCCAUGUCUCACAGGGUCCCCAUGUUACUAGGACACUAUGAAUACAUAGACAUGGGGACACUGUGAGGCAUGGGGACAUUGGGAGACCUGGGGACACUGAGAUAAAUGUGGACAUUGAGACACUUGGGGCACUGGGAGACAUGGGGACACUGGGAGACAUGGGGACACUGAGACACCAGGGACACUGAGACACUAGGAACAAUGGCAGGGAGACAAGGGGACAUUGAAACACUUGGGCACUGAGAGACAUCGGGACACUGGGAGAUAUGGGGACACAGACACUAGGGACACUGAGACACUAGUGACACUGGAAGAUAUGGGGACACUGAGACACUUGGGGACACUGAGACACCAAGAACACUGGGAGACAUGGGACACAAGGAGAUUUGGGGACACUGAUACACUAGGGACACUGGGUGGGACACAUGGGGACACUGGGAUACUAGGGGACACUUGAAGACAUGGGGACACAGAGACACCAGGGACACUGGCUGGGAGAAUUGGGGACACUGUGUCCCUAGUGUCUCAGUGUCCCCAUGUCUCCAAGUGUCUCUGUGUCCCCACGUGUCUGUGUCAUAAUUUCUCCCAAUGUCCCUUAGUGUCUCAGUGUUCCCAUAUCUCCCAGUGCCCCCGUGCCUCCUGGCAGCCUUUCUCCCCAUCCCUAACUUCCGUGAGCUGUCUCUGCAGGCUGGAAGUUGUUGUCUGGACUCUCUGUAGCUGCUCCCCUGCGGAUCAGUGAGUAGAGAUAGGCAGGGAGGGAUAUGCUUUAACUUCCUAUCCCUACUUCUCUCCACACAGAGCGACCCCUACUGACCAGUGGUGGUAUUGCAUUGUAAUCUAUGUUUAUACUGAGAAAAAUACCAGCAUUUGUAUUGCCAGUAUGACUGCAAUAUCGGCACCGGCCAGGCUGCAUCAAAUACUGUGCCAGUAAAAUACCAGCCAAGUGAAAACCCGAAAAGUAGUGUGUAAAAAAUAAAUUUUAAAAAUGUAAAUUUUUUUUUAAAUCAUUUUCAUGGGCAGGGGACUGGAGCUGCAGCUCCAUCAGCCCCUAUGUUAAUCCGGCCCUGGUUAAGAAAUGUUUUGGUAAAUGUUCUUUUUUAUGUUUGGCAAAUGUUGAACCUAAUAAAAAUGUUACUGCUUGUAAGAUGUAAUGCUUUGUUAUGUAUUGAUUUUAUUAAAAUAUUUUAAUGAAUAUUUUUAUUUUGAUAAUUCUUUUCUUAAUUCACUAUUGAGGUUUGCCGUGUUUUCACAUUUUUAGAAGAUUAAUUUAUCCAUGUCAGUAAUGGCAGAAACAUUUUCUUUGAUUUUCAGAUUUCCAUAUGUGUACAAUUGUACACAAUAUAUUUUAUUCUUGUGCUUUAACUAUUAAAUGGACAGAUAAUUAAGAAUUUUUUAAAUUAUGUUAAAGAUAUAAAAUAGUCAGUUUUAGUUAAACAUAAAACAUAUAAAUAUAUUUAAAAAGUUAAAAAAGUUAAUUAUAUUAUUUUUUAUUUGCAAAUGAAUAUAUUACCUGAGAUAAUACAUAAAUAUAUAACAAUAACUUAUACCUGGGAUAUUAGUGUAAUAAACUAAAAUUGUCUAUCAGGUAAUGUCUGAAGUUAAAACACAAGUAAACUUACUGGCUUAAAAUAUUAGUUUGUAAAUACAAUUUACUUAAGGUUGCUAUUCACUAAAAAGUGAAUUGAGGUGACUUGUCAGGGAAAUGGAAAAAUUUAAGCCGAAAUAGCUGAAGUAGUCUAGAAAUAUUUGAAUGGUGAAAUUUUUUUUAGUGCAGCUAUAUAUUUAGCUAGAUUUUGCAAUCCUCCUCGGCCAUUCACUUUUUAGUGAAUAGAAUCUAUAAAAACUUCCAAGACUCUUGCUGUAGGCUUGCAGGGCUCUUGCUCUAGACUUGUAGAGCUCUUGCUGUAGACUUGCAGGGCUCUUGCUGUAGACUUGCCAUUGCAACUUUGCUCUUGCUAAAGACUUGCCAAGAAAAUUUGCGGCAAAUGUAAAAAGCGUCAACUAGAACUUGGGCUGCAAGUGCUCUGCUAGUAAAUAACUUGCCGGUGAAAAUGUGCAGCAAGUUAAAAAGACUUACAAUUUAAAUCUUCCACACAUUUGUGGCAAGUUAUACUUGCUAUAUAGAACACUGCCCCCUCCUCAAAACCUUCCCACAAUUUAAUACACUGCCCCCCUCCCCACAAUUUAAUACUGCCAUCCCGACAAUUUAAUAUACUACAGCUCAUCAUCCCCUACCUCAAGAUGAGCUGUCCACCAGUUCCAACCCGGCCUGGACAAUCUCUUCUCUGCUCAAACAGGUACUGCGAGCAGGGGGGCAGGAGGAGUGAGUGGCUGGCCUGGUCUGCAGACAGACAGCCACUCUGCGGCACUAAAGUGCCACCGCCCUGCAGACGCCGGGUAAGACAUCAUAAGCUGUUCAUAUCUGUUGGGCAGUGUGGACAAAUAUAUUAUGCUCUUGCAGCCGUGGCUGGUUGCAAAAGCACGUGAGAUGCUGGAGCACGUGGGAGCGCAAACUGUAUUGAGGCUGACCACAGCACACAGCAACCCCCUUGGCAGGCAGUCCGGCCCUGGUAUCACCCCCCCAAUGCACCCUGGGGUUGUCCGCACCCACUUCACCCCCCUUGUAACGCCACAGGCUGAUAGCAUCAUGGACAGGUCACCACUUCUCCUAAGGCCCAUAGAGGUGAACAGCCUAUGGGUACUGGGCAGUAGAGCAUCCCCACUGACUUCUUUUGGGACUCCCCCCAGGCAGACAUUCCAACGUCUGUGUCGAGACUCAUGGAGUCAUGGAGGCCGUAGCCCUUUGCAGCAGCUGAACCUGUUGGUUAAGCCCCUCCACAUGGGUCUCUGUGGCCUGCAGCGAGUCAUCUCUCUCCGACACUCCAUUAAUCUUCUGGGUUACGAGUACGAUGCCCAGUUUUUUGGGGGUUUCUUGCAGAUCUGCCUUCCACACUUUGCACAGGUCCAGGAGCAGCCUCUUUCAUUGAGGGUGUUGAGUCUUCAUCUGACUGGGACUCUUGGUGGGUUUCAUUUUGGUGGGGAGAAGCAGUGGAUUGAGUCUUUCACCUUGGUUUGCACUGCAGGCAUCUUGGGAUUCUUUCGUGGUGCAGGCCUCUUCAAAAAGAGUUUGAUAUCUGGCCUUUUUGGACUCUAAGGUGCAUGAAAUUUUCUGUGCUUGUUCUCCAUAUUGUCAUUUGGGGAGAGGAGGGGAGGGAUAGGAUGCAAUAAAGUAGUUAUCUCCAUGGAGUUUUCAGGUAGGGAAAACCCAUCUGUAUUACGGUACUGGUGCAGGUACUGUUUUGUCUCUCAGUCAGCCUAUUCAAAGGUUUAACCUCUUGUGCUGCUAGUGCAUUUCCCCAAUUCACACUUUGUGCACCAAUUAUAAACAUAGAAAUAACCUUAAAAAGUGGAGUGCUUAAACUAGCAUAGACAACACUAAAAAUAAAACAAAUAAUAAAAAAAAGCUCAUUGCAUUUUACCAUGUAAAAUACCAUAUAAAACAGUGGAUUGAAGACCUUCAUGCUUCCAAUUAUUGACCACAAAAAAAACCCAACAACUACUGAUAGUACACACAAUCCUUAAAAGUUUUAAUGGUAAGUAUAUAUAAUAUAUUAUUACCUUCUAGCACAGUUUCAUUGUCUUCCAUUCCAUUUUUUGGUGGGUUAAGAGAUUCUUACAUGGGUGUGGUAGCAGCUAAAAUAUACAACAUUUUCAUAUUACUUUUUAGGCACCCUUUUUGACAGAACAAUUUUUUCCAUAUAUAAUAUAUUAGAUCACAUGAGUCUAUACUGUCUAUACAUUCCCUGGAGCUAUUGUUACGAGUAGCCUCUGUGCAGCGGCGUACAUACCGUGGUCGCAGGGGUCGCAGCUGCGACAGGGCCUAGCACUCCAGGGGGCCCAGCCGCCCUGCUGACCCCCGCAACCGGGUAACAGGCCUGCUACCACAUUAUGCGGCCCCAGCCCACACGGCAAACCACCGGGGCCGCAUAUGGAGGGGUCCAACGGAUCAGGGGAGAAAGGGGAGAGGCGGGGCCCACGGAUCAGUUUUGCACCGGGGCCCCAUGGAUUGUGUGUACGUCACUGCCUCUGUGACUUUAAAGGUCAUCAGUCAAAGGCAUACAGCUCUCUAGACCUAAGGUGUAACAUCUCUAUAUUGACACACAAAUAGAUAAAAACUCAUAGAAACGCUUCUUACUAGAAGUACUGUGUGAAUUCCAAAAAGCUUUACACUGAUACUCAAAACUAGGAUAACCAGAGUGGGUUCGCUUGGUGUGCUUUCCCAGUCUGAGUCGCAUGGCUUCCUUGGCACCGCCCACUCCUAUGAUGUCACAUAGAUGAAUUUUGCUGUAGAGCUUUGUCAUACAUUGAAUGCUUGAUCCCUCAUGCUGUCAAUCUGUUUUUAAAAAAUCCAUAAAUAAGUAUAAAUGAGUCUGUAAUGCCACUUAACUCUUUCAUACCAUGCAAUAGGUUAUUGGAAAUAUUGAUCAGCCACAACAUUGAAACCACAUGCCUAAUCAGGGCUGCCAUCUUAAAUUGUGGGCCCCCUGACACAGCUCAAGGUCUGGGCCCUUGAGGCUCAACAACUAGUCCACCCACAAGGAUGAAGUGUGUGUGUGUGUAUACUGAAUGUGGUGUGUGUAUAGUGGAUGUAGAAUGUGUGUAGUGGACGUGGUAUGUGUUUCAUGGAUGCAGUUUGUAUAGUGGAUGCAGAUUGUAUGUUUUGUGUAAAGUAUGUAAUGCAUUAGAUGCAGAGUGUGUGUGUGUAGUGAAUGUAGGUGUGGAUUGUGAAUGCAGAGUGUGAGUUUGUGUAGUGGAUGUAGUUUGUGUAUAGUGAAUGCAAAGUAUAUGUUUGUAUAAUGAUUACAGAGUGUGUGUUUUGUAGUGGAUGUAGUGUGUGCAUAGUGACUGCAAAGUGUGUACAGUGAAUGUAGUAUGUUUGUAGUGAAUGCAGAGUGUGUAUAUUGAAUGUAGUGUGUAUGCAGUGAGUGCAUAGUGUGUGUAGUGAAUGUAGUGUUUGUAGUGACUGCAAAGUGUGUAUAGUGCAUGUAGUGUGAUUGUAAUGACUGCAAAGUGAGUAUAGUGAAUGUAGUGUGAUUGUGGUGAAUGCAAAAUGUGAAUAGGGAAUGCAGUGUGUUUGUAGUGAGUGCAAUGUGUGUAUAGUAAAUGUAGUGUAUUUGUAGUGAAUGCAAAGUAUUUUAGUGAAUGUAGUGUGUUUGUAGUGAGUGCAAUGUGUGUAUAGUGAAUGUAGUAUGUUUGUAGUGAAUGCAACGUGUUUUAGUGAAUGUAGUGUGUUUGUAGUGAGUGCAAAGUGUGUAUAGGGAAUGUAGUGUGUUUGUAGUGAGUGCAAAGUGUGUAUAGUGAAUGUAGUGUGUGUAGUAAGUGCAGAGUGUGUGCUUGUAAAGAUGUGUGUGUGUGUAAAAUAGAGGUGGAAAGCAUCUUUUUACAUUUAUUUGUGUAUCUUUUAUUUUUUCCCCCCUUCCUGCUUCUUACUUUGCCAGGGAGGGGGGAGAUCACUUUCCCUGGUGGUCCAGUGGCAAGGUGGAGGAAGCUAGGCGUGGUACAGUGCAGAGGGGGCCCAGCACACUCUAUCUUUGUCACGUAUCCUUCGUCUCCAUGUGGCAAAAACAGGUAAUUACCGUCCGAAGAUCGAGGGGAGUGCCACUCGCCGGUCUUCAGCCAUGAUGCCUGGCUUUUGCGGCAUGUCGGUGCACGCACGACCUACGCAAUUAUAUAGCACCACGUACGUCAGCGAUAAAGACGAAAUUGACGUACGGAUGACGUCACGCAAAAGACGCACACGCACGUUUUGGGGUCAAGGACUAGGUACAGCUAAUCGGAUCUCCAAGAGGGUUAUUUAAACUCACUUAUUCCUUAGCUCAUUGCCCUUAGAUGGUUAUCCAAGAGUGUGUUCCUGUGUUUCUGGUUUUUGACUUUGGCUUAGUUUUGACUUCCCUGAUUUCUGGUACCCUUGACUAUUGGCUUUUCCUUAUCGCGGUGUCUCGUUCUGUGUCCCUGACCUUGGCUAGUUUUCUGACUAUUCUCGGGUACUUUAAGUCCGGCCAUGCUAAGACGAUACCUUUAGUUCUAGGGUGUGAUACUAUUCUGCGUGCUGGAUUAAUAUAAUCCUGACAAUCUUCCCUUUCCAGCAUCUCUCUGACUAAAUCUUGCAAGACCGUGUGUGCUGUGCGGAGCGUUGCCAUGGUAACCCUCAAACUCAUGAAAAGUUAGACACAGAGAAGCUGGAAAGGUAACACAGAAUUUGCUGCUGGGCCCCCAUCUGCAAUGUACAGGUAGUAGUGCACAUAUAUCUAGCGAAAAUAUCUCUCUCUCUAUAUAUAUAUGAGCAUAUAAGGAUGGUGGAGCUCGGACUGCCAGAGUGUGGUGGUCAUGCCCUGAUCGCAGCCCUGUGCCUAAUGUUGUGUAGCUUCCCCUCAUGCACUCCUAAAGACCCCUGAACAAACCCUGUGUAAUUUGGCACCAAUACAUUAGCAGUAAAGUCCUGCAUGGUGGGGACUCCAUAGAUAACAUUUUGUUAUUACAGCACAUCCCAUAGAUGCUUAGUUGGUUGCGUUCAGGGGAAUUUGAAGGCCAAGACAACACCCUCAACUUUUUGUCAUGUUCCUCAAACCAUUCCUGAACAAUGUUUGCACUGUGGCAGGGUGCAUUAUCCACCGCCAUCAGGGAACACCAUUCCUAUUAAGAAAUGGACAAGGUAAGUGGUACGUGUCUAAAUAACACCCACAUGAAUGCCAAGACCCAAGGUUUCCUACUGAACAUUGCCCAAGACAUAACACUGUCUCUGCCGGCCAUACAACUGAUCUGAAAGAAAAUGUGAUUCUUUAGACCAGGCAACCUUCUUCCAUUGCUCUAUGUUCCAGUUCUGAUGCUUAUGUCCCAUGAUGACACCCACUUUUGACAGUGGACAGGGGUCAUCAUUGGUACUCUGGCUGGUCUGCAGCUUAGGACCCUCAUACAGAGCAAACUGUGAUGCAGUGUGUGUUCUGACACCUUUUUAUCAUGGCCAGCAUUAUGUUUGUCAGCAGUUGUGUGAUCAGACCAGACAGCUAGCCUUCACUCCCCACGUGUAACAAUGAGCCCCCUGAUGCUAUUUCACUGGUUGUCCUUCCUUGCACCACUUUUGGUAGUUAUUAGUAACUGUAUACUGGGAAUACUCCUCAAGACUUGACGUUUAGAAGAUGCUCUGACCCAGUUGUCUAGCAAUCACUAUUCCCACUCAGAUAGUUUUGCUUGCCCAUUUUUCCUGCUUCUAACACAUUAAAUUCUGACUGUUCACUUGCUGUCUAAUAUAUCGCACCCUUGACAAGUGCCAUGGUAAUGAUAUAAUCAAUGCUAUUCAUUUAACCUGUCUGUGAUUUUAAUGUUAUGGCUGAUCAGUGAAUAUACAUAAAGAAUGUAUCUGAAAAGAAUUUUGGGUUCAUUUUACUCUUUUAUUCCUGUGAUACAAGGGAUCAUUUACAGUGUUUCAACAAGAUCACAUUGUGUUUAAAUUGUAACAAUCUGUUACAAUUAUGAAUUACAGUUGUUACUUCAUGAUUUAGCUAUUAGUAUUUCACAGUUUCAUAUAUAGCUGUUCAACAGGAUAAUAAGUUUCUCUAGUUAUUAUGACCUUUAAGGCUCAUGUUCUUUACCUAUCCCUGGUUAUUUAAAUUACUCUUUAUAUAUGAAAGGACCACUAUAGUCACCCAGACCACUUCCCCCAGGUUUUAACCCUUCAGAUGUAAACAUAGCAGUUUCAGAGAAACUGCUAUGUUUACAUUGCAGGGUUAAGCUAGCCUCUAGUGGCUGUCUUCCUGACAGCCGCUAGAGGCGCUUCCCCAAUGCUCAAUGCGAAAAUCGCAUUGAGCACGCAGAACGUCCAUAGGAAAGCAUUAAGAAAUGCUUUCCUAUGGGCGUUUUUAAUGUGCGUGCGGCUCUGGCCGUGCAUGCGCGUUCGGCUCCACUCGGGAGCUGACAUCAGAGGGGGAGGAGAGGUCACCAGCACGAGGGAGCCCGGCGCUGGAUAAAGGUAAGUGGCUGAAGGGGUAAGUGGCUGAAGUGGUAACUGUUAAAUGUGUUUUAUUGGAUUAUCAUUUAAAGUUUGUGAAAAAAUUUGCAUUUUACAUCAUAUUAAAACAAUGCCUACAUAUGCAAUAAAGUAAAACAUACAGUAGAAUUAAACGUAUGAUUAUUUUAUUGAAAUUGGACUUUUUAAAAUUGUAUGUUUUAAUAUACCCCAUGUACUUUUGCUUUUUGAGUUUAUUUAAAAAGACAUCACAUUGUGAUCACUAUUUCCCAAGUGCUCCCCUACUUGAAUGUUGGCCAAAAGAUCAACAUUGUUUGUUAUAAUCAACUCCAGACAAGCAUCCUUUCUAGUUGGUGCUUGCUUGUACCAAUUGUGACAUAAGGUGUCAUUUAACAGGUUCAAAAACCUGAUUCCCCUUGCUGAACUACUUGUCCAAUUUAUUGUUUAUUUAAAAUCUCCAAUAAUUAACAUGUUACCCAUUGCUUUCAUGAUUUGUUCUAACAAAAGCUGUCUUUCCUCAUCAAUAUCAACAUUAGGUGGUUUAUAACAUAUCCCAACCAAAACUUGAUUUCCCUCCUUUUCUCCACACAGAUAUCUACCCAUAAAUCUUUCAUAUUUUCCUUGACACAUUCCACUUGCUUAAUAUUUGGAUUUAACUCAUGGUUGACAUAAAUACGUAGCCCACCAUCCUUCCUCUUUUUUUCUAUCAUUACUACAUAGUGUAUAACAAUUUUAAAUAACUGCCCAGUCAUGUGUCUCAUCUCACCAUGUUUCUGUUAUGCCUAUUAUGUCAUAUUGCGCACUAUAUGCUAUUGCCCUUUAGUUUCCCAUUUUGUUAUUUGGGCUCCUUGCAUUAGUAAGCAGACUUUUAAUAUUAGCAUGAGUCACUUGAACUUUAUGUGAAUUUGUAUUACUAUUACAUACUUCCUCUGUUCUGCUCUUGCCCCUGUCCCCAUCUCCACACCUCUUGUGUUGAGCUAAAGCCCAUCGCUUUUAUGUCCUAUCUCCAUUUUGCAGAUGUCUGUGUCCCUCCCCCUUAGUUUAAAAUCUCCUCCAAACUUACUAGGAGGAGGACCAUUAAGGGAGAAGAUGGCAUGUCUGCUGCAUGAGAUCGAGUACUCUGACAUUUCAGGCUUAAAAUGCACUUCUAAUGGCUAUCUUCCUGACAGCCACUUAGGGUGCUUUCUUCUCCAGAACUAAGUGAUCCUGGAUUAAAGUAUUGCAGAAAGCAGCAUUUGAUUGGAGUAAGAAAGCAUUUUGGCGAUUGCGAGUUGCUGAAAUCACUGGAGGAGGAACUGAAGGCUGCAUUGGAUGAGUCCAGUUGUUCAGUCAAAUGAGGUGACUAAACUUUAACUUAAAUUUUACACAGCAAAUGGGGUUGCUAUAAUGGAACCUAUAGUCCCAAAAUAAUGACUGUUAAUUUAAGGACUAAAGGUUCCCUUUAAAUCUGAGUUAAGAAGGGAGAUGUGAUGAUAGCUUGGGCAGACCUCCAGGUCUUUUCUUUAGGGAUUACCUUGAUAUUAGCAGAAAGGUUAUGUGGAUGCAACCUGUGAAAUAUUGGAGCUACGUGUCUCCAGAAAGGGCUGAGCCAGAACCCUAUACUAUAUAUUAAGCUAUAGUACCUCACAGAAAGGCCAUCUCAGCCAAGGGCUUGCCCAAGAGAGAAGAACUAAGAGCUUUCUGUAGCUCUUCCUGUGUAAUAGUUCACUCCAUCUCUGCCUUCACCGGUGCAGUGAUGGUGUUUUAAGGUCUUUCCUUAAAUAAUCAUUAAUGUCAGACUGGUGCUUGUCAGAGUCACAGAAAUGGUCUUCAUUAUGUAUAUUGUAGAGUGAUUCAUAAUCUUGUCAAAAUAUCUCUAGCAUAUCUUCAGGUACCUGAGUUUGAGUGUGAUCUGCAUGUGUCAAUCUAGGGACAUAGGUAAUUGACCUAGCCUUACUUGUGAUUUUCCGUAUUUAUUAUCAUAUUCAAAGAAGUAUUUUUAUAGUUAUACUAAGAGUUUUUUGUUUUUUAACAUUAAAUAUAGAAUACAACUGAGAAUCACAGUAAGGAGAUACCAUCAUGAGAGUAUAAUGUCAAACUAGAAAGUUAAUACAAAAUAUCAGUAACAUGCAGUAUGGCAACAAUAAAAUGCAUAAGUAGGCAACAUAACCACAAGAAAUCGUCCAUCCUUCUUUAUACUAAUGUUCCCCUUUUGUAGGAGCUCAGUAUUCUUAAAGGAGCACUAUAGUGCCAGGAAAACAAACUUGUUUUCCUGGAACUAUAGGGUUAAUAGGUCCCCCCUUCUCUCAGGGCCCCCCUCCCGCUGGGCUGAAGGGAUUAAAAACCCUUCAGCCACUUACCUUAAUCCAGUGCCAGGCUCACUCGGCACUGGUGACCUCUCCUCCCCCUGCCGAUGUCAACUCUGAAUGCGCAUGCGCGGCAAGAGCAACGCGCCCAUUCAAACCGCCCAUAGGAAAGCAUUACUCAAUGCUUUCCUAUGGACGUCCAGCGUCAUCUCAGUCUGGUUUUCACACUGAGAAUCGCGGAAUCGCUCUCUAGUGACUAUCAUGUUUGCAGCUGCAGGGUUAAAACUAGGGGAACCUGGCACCCAGACCACUUCAUUAAGCUGAAGUGGUCUGGGUGCCUAUAGUGGUCCUUUAAUGUGCCUCAAUUUGUACUAAAGCUAUACAGCAAUAAUAUGAUAAUUUAUCUAUAAUUUUUUUGUAAACUAAAAUAAAUGUUGAGAUAUAAUAAUGUGUAAAUAACAUACAUUGCUAUUUUAGACANNNNNNNNNNNNNNNNNNNNNNNNNNNNNNNNNNNNNNNNNNNNNNNNNNNNNNNNNNNNNNNNNNNNNNNNNNNNNNNNNNNNNNNNNNNNNNNNNNNNAAAAGCUCCCCGGAAGCAUCUAGCCAAACCUCACUACCCCUUUCAAAGAAUCCAAGUUGACCACAUUCAAAUGCCAAAGAGUGGCCGGUAUGAAUAUGCACUAGUCACAGUGGACAUGUUCUCAGGAUGGCCAGAGACCUACCCAGUUACCAACGUGACAGCCAAGACCACAGCCAAGCGCCUGCUCACCGAAGUUGUAUGCAGAUACAGAGUCCCAGAAGUAAUAGAAAGUGACCAGGGACCGGCCUUCACUGCAUCAGUAAUCAGAGAGAUCUGGGCAGCAUUGGGGGUGACCCUUGCAUUCCACAGACCCUAUCACCCACAGAGUAGUGGUAAGGUAGAACGCAUAAAUGGCACCUUAAAAGCCAGAAUUCUAAAAAUGGCCCAAAAAACUAACUUGCCCUGGCCAGAGAGUCUCCCCAUAGCUCUAUUAAUGUACACACCAAGAGGGAGGUUUGCUUUAUCCCCUUAUGAGAUUCUGUUUGGUUCAGCCCCUAGACUUGGGUGCUAUUUCCCCCCAAAACUUCAACUCCAGUCUGAUAUAUUGGUUGACUAUGUAACUGCCCUGUCCCGAGCGUUGACCAAAAUCCAUGCACAAGUGUUUUCUUCCAUUCCAGAUCCAGAGUCUGACAAAGGCACCCACCGAUUACUUCCUGGUGAUUGGGUUCUUGUUAAGAAAUUUGUGAGAAAGCACACUCUUGAGCCAAGAUAUGAUGGUCCCUUCCAAGUCCUCCUAGUCACAGCCACAUCUGUUAAAUUGGCCAGGAAGAGCACCUGGAUCCAUGCCAUGAUUAUCCUGUUCAUACUUUUGCUGCUAGGCCAUACUAGGGCUCAACAAGUUGCCAUUACUAAAGAUGAUAAUGUUUACACUUUUUGGUACAACUCAUCUAACAUACAUGUGGCCACCUUUACAUUUGAUUAUUGUGAUAUUGUCUGAUGUACAUUCCCACAAUCAUUGGUAAAAACAGUAUACAAAGACAUUCCCAACAUAAAGGACCCAUACAUAUGUGUUACAGACGACUACUGGGGACAUGACUGUAGUUCCUGGCAGGCAGCGGGUUGGAAUGCAGGACCAGCUUGGGGCUACAAACCACCGAGUUCCUUAGAUAGGUUGGAGAGAAAUGGGGAGUCCCUAUUACUCAGAAUGAGUUUACGAAAACCGUGAGGGGCGACCCCAAUGAAACUUACCCUAAACAUAGAACAUCCCAGCCCCGGAGAUGCUAGCGAGUAUGUAAUGGGAAUGUAUUGGAAGGGGGGGGGGCUCCUAUAAUAAACAGGGAACUUUCUACCUACAAGAUAUGUAUCAGUCACCCAAGUGGGUAGCUUCCCGACAUGUAAUUACUAACCCGCUUAAACCCCACAUUCAGACCUUUAAGGACAUGGUAGCCAUAGCAAACCCUACAUUUGAAGAUACUAUGGCUACAGAGACAGGAUUCUCUGACACUAACCUAUGGCUUGAAUGGAUGCGAUAUAAUGCUAACAAACACAACAGAACUAACUGCUAUGUCUGGAGGAGCCAGACCCAACCCGACAUAGAAUUGUGUUUUCUAAGCCUCUAUACUACCCUCAAGACUAAUCAGUCAGCGUGUGGAGUGGAAAAAGGAAUACCCAAUUGUGACUAAGAACAUCAAACAAAAAAAGGGUAUUACUAUAUAUCCAGGGAACUACACCUGCUACGGUAUAUAUAGUUACAUAGUUACAUAGUUACAUAGUUACAUAGCUGAAAAGAGACUUGCGUCCAUCAAGUUCAGCCUUCCUCACAUUUGUUUUUUGCUGUUGAUCCAAAAGAAGGCAAAAAAACCCAGUUUGAAGCACAAUUUUGCAACAAGCUAGGAAAAAAAUUCCUUCUUGACCCCAGAAUGGCAGUCAGAUUUAUCCUUGGAUCAAGCAGUUAUUACCCCACUAAUUUUGCAAGUAUUUAUCCAAUUGCAAUUUAAACAUCUAUAUAGACUCUGACAAAACCACCUCUUCAGGCAGAUAAUUCCAUAUCCUUAUUGCUCUUAUUGUAAAAAAAACCCUUUUCUUUGCCUUAGACGAAAUCUCCUUUCUUC